rnacentral:lncRNA from 1 species
CACCCAUUAGCUGGACACAUUCAAGAAAAUUGCCGACAAGUUUCGAACUAACACAAUUUUGGGCCGAGAAUGCAAGAAGCAAACCACUGAUUCCCCCACCAGCAACCACAACAAAUUCAGUGCUCCCAUGCUAAGAUCCUCUGAUGUUGGAGAACUAGCGAAAUUUAAUACAAGGCUUCAACACUCCGAAGCCUGCUAGAGAAAUAUUAAAGCAAAAUAAGUAGUAGCAUUAAACAACAGCCAUUUCAUCAGUUUUAAUUUUAGUAUAACACAAUAAUAUGAACCAACCUUGAUUCUCAAAGGCACCCAACUAAUUCAUAGCCUUCAAAUCAAGACUUUGCAAUUCUUUAAAAGGCAGAAACAAAGAUGCGUUGAGAACCCACUCCCCUAACCCCCAAUCCCCAGCACCCCCAAGAGAGAGUUGGAUCACUCGCCUUUCGGUGGUAUCGCACACGAUCCUAGACCACUCACAACAAUUAUUGCCCAGGUAUUUCAACAGUUAUGGCUUGUGUGGGUUUUGGUUCACGAUGGAGAUGAUGGAUACAAUAAUGUAUUUCGACAACAAAACUUUCAAUGCUUGUGAAUGGCUCUCCAACUAAAGAGUUCUUUAUCGAAAAGGGAUUGCGACAAGGGGACUCUUUAUCAACAUCUCUUUUCAAUAUAGCAACUGAGGGUCUUAGUAGAAUGCUAAGAAGAGAUGUGGUUUGGGACUUAUAAAAGGUAUUUGUUUUGGUCACUUUCAAGUUUGUAGAUGAUACACUCAUCUUCAGUUCAUAUGAUUUUCCAUCUCUUCAAAACAUCAAAAUAACCAUGUGAUGUUUUGAGUUGAUUUCUAGGCUGAAGGUUAAUUUCCACAAGAGCUCAAUCACGAGAACUAUUGUUAUUUCUUCAACUGCUAGCAAUCUAAUAUGUAGUAUGGAGGGGAUGCCAUUUAAGUAUUUGGGCCUGCCUAUUUGUGCAUCUUCAUCUCAUGUGGAAAACUAUUGUUAAUAGAAUCAAUAGCAAGUUGGCACUUACCUAUUGGUGAGAGAGUGUGCUUGCUUAAAUCAAUUAUAAAUAAUCUUCCUAUCUACAACCUUUCUUUAUUUCCUAUCACAUCCAUUGUUGCUACCAAAAUUGAGAAACAUAUCAUAUCUUUCUUUGGUUCUUAGGAGGAAGGAGGGAAAAAACUAUGCAAUGUUAAAUGGGCAUCGGUGGUUCCUCCAAAAAAAAACAAAAAGGGCUGGGUAUAGACUACAUUAUUGAUAAAAAUCAUGGGUUACUAACACUUCCAUAGCAAAGAGAUAUGUAUUUUCCCUAUUAAUUUCUCAAGUUACCAUAAUGAGAGUGUGAUGUGACUCCAAUAAAUGUAGGAUAUGUUAAUUAGGUAUACAAUGUCUAUGUGAUAUGGACAUAAUCAUUUUUGGUAUGUCAAAUUCUUACUAUUUCACUCUUAAGAGUAGAAAGAUCUAGUUAGUUGGACUGCAUUCCGAUCUGCAAUCUUCCUAUAUAUCCCAAUUGUUGUAUUUGCUUUAGUGGCUAAGCAAGUUUUAGAGAAACCACUUGAAGAAGUAAGUGCGGUUUUGAAAGAGUUUCAAGAUGUUUGUAAUAGAUUUGAUCCCUAGUGUUAUAUUGACCUCUUGGUUUCAAGCAAGAAACACACUUCAAUAUCAUUAUGCGUAAUUGUAUUCCUAAUAGAGUUAUGAUGUAAGUUAUGAUGUAACGAAGACUCCCUUUUCUCAUUCUAGAAUCCGGUGAUUCCACCUCACGUUCAUCCUCCACCCGCUGAAGACUUAUACCAUUGAAAGAGAAAAGCUCCAGCUUUGGGUGUAAACUGGAUUGAUUGCAUCCCAUCUGAAUCACGUGGGCUUAAUUAAUGGAAGGAACGAACAAUUGUCGGUUUUAAAAGUUUGGUUUGUAACAAUCAUUGUAAUUUCAAAUCUCCAUACUCCUUCCAUUUAAGCAAGUAAUAAUAACAGAGAAUAUGUAUAAAUCUCAGUGUUGUUUUACAUUUUAUAUAAGAUAUUACAGUUUCAUUCAAAAAAUGAGAAAUAACAUUAAAAAUCCUCAAAUUCUACCACCUUCAAUUCUCAUUCAUCAACAACAGCAUACAUUCAAACAAGUGAUCAAUAGUGAUCAAGUGAUGAGGACUAGAGUAAGAUUCGCACCAUUGUAAGCUUGACAAGCUUCGCCUACUCUAACUGUAACGAAAGAUUCAGUGCCUAAUCUCUGGACGGAGAAGGGGACGCCCUUGUUAUGUACACGGUUGCUCUAAAUGGUUCGAUGAUGCUCAUUUUAAACAUAUCAUGUCAGGUUGUCAAUUUCGUUCUGGUUAGUGUAACGGACCCGACUGUACGACUUGAUCAAUGUUAAAAGAUCCCAAUAUAUUCUCUUAGCCUGAGGAUAAUUUUUUUUUUAAUCUAUCAAAAAUUCAGCAGAGUUUUGUUUGUAUUUAGGACAUCCCAAGUUAUCGACCACUAUCAAUUUACUCAAUCAACCCAUCAUCACAAGGUCCCAUAAAUCCGGACCUUAGAUUAAUCAUCAUAAUUCAACACCUUACCCAAUCCACACAAUAUAUAUCCUACGAGUAAGUUCAAUAUCAACAUAACCCACAUAUCAUAUUAUAAAAUUUAAAAGAAAAGGAAAUACUAACAUGCAAAGAAAGCAUUACAACAUAAUAAGUGUUCUUAACCAUAUCAAAAGGGUUAAUUACAAGAUAACUAAAAUACUACAUGCUAAGCUGAACUUUUAUAAAUACAUCAAGGUUUACACAAAAGUAUACUACAUAAACACGUUAUUUCUCUUUUGUUUAAGUUAAAUAUUUACAUAAGCUUGACAAAGUAGAGUCCUAAAUUAGUGAUCUCUCUGGAUAUUUGAUGGACCUGUUAUAUAAAUAAACAUGUCAUUAUGUUGAUAAAAGAAAUAUAUAUAAGCUCAUGUAAUGUAUCCGAAUGAAGUAUUAAUUUCUAUUGGAUCCAUAAGGAUUCUAACAGACAUCUUAUAUUUUGCUUGUAAAUCUUUUAAACCCAAUUUACACUCAUUUGCAUAUUCUUAAUUUGAAUACUCUUAUUUAUUUGCAUGAACCGGGUGACCUUGCAAAGUCUAUUCUUGUAAUCCAUUUCCCAGCAAUCAUAUCACGAAUACCAUUAGCCGAAGCAAAUCUUGUAAUUCAUCUCCCGGCAAUCAUAUCACGGAUGACAUUAGCCGAAGCUAAUCUUGAGAUUCAUCUCCCUGCACUCCUAUCACGGAUGCCAUUAGCCGAAGCUAAUCUUGCAAUCACGGAUGUCAUUAGCCGAAGCUAAUCUUGUAAUUCAUUUCUCAGCACUCCAAUCACGGAUGCCAUUAGCCGAAGUUAAUCUUGUAAUUCAUUUCCCGGCACUCCUAUCACGGAUGCCAUUAGUUGAAGCUAAUCUUAUAAAUACACUAGACUUUAUUUACAUUGAACACGAUAUUUAUUAUAAUUGCAUUCACUAGAGGAAUUUUAAAUUGUAUAAGUACAAAUAGGAGGGAAAAAUCACGCACCUGCUUCGCCUGUUUCGUGACCUCCUCUAACAGAAGAUCCAAUCCUGGUUGCUCCUCCUGAAUCACAAGGAAGUUUUUGGUUAUGAUUCCUUCAAGCUGAUAUUAUAGAGGCUCCAUAUUCAUUCAUUACUCAUAUGUUACUUUCUAUGCAUGUUCAUUUCCUUAUAAUAACAAACAUACAUAAAUCAAGUAUAUUUUCAAAGUUAGUAUCUCAAUGUGCAAGUGUUCGUAUGACUCAAUUCUUUUAUAUUCUUACAUAUAAUAUUCACGUGAAAGUCUACUAUUACUAUCUAACUUUGAACUGUUACUGUCCAACGGUUGCUGUCCAACAGUUGCUGUUUGAACAGUUGCUGUUUGAACUCUUAUCAGAUUUUUAACUAUAUCUAGAGUUCUAGAACUCCAUUUUAAGUGAGAUUGAUCUUGUUGGAAAGCUAAGACACGAGGCUACAAGUUCUCUAAAGGAAGGAGAACCCAGUUCUGCCUCCAGGAUAGUCAAAAUUGCUCAUCAACCCAUCAAUCCUACUGCUCUACAAAAUCAGUCACGACUCAGUCUUGGUUGGUAACCCAUAACUGGAGUUAUACAUCUCCAAAUUGAGCAAGAUUAAUUUCCUUGGUUAGCUAACAUCCAAAUCUACAAUUUCUAUAAAGGAAUCUGAUCCUAAUUCCCUCAUCCUCCUACCCGAAAUCUCACCAAAAGUUAGGAGACAAGUUUGUCCAGAUUCGUUUGCCCCUCCCCUUCACACAAUACUUUCAUAAACUACACACCACACACAUGAAUUAACUUAAUCUUAAUAAUAAGUACUUUUUCUCCAAUUCAUGUCUAAGAACCCUAACCUAUGAUUCAAUAUCAAGGCAUCAAUUCAUUAUCGAUUUGAAAUGAAUUUUUUUAAUAUCAUGUUUAGAACACCUUACCCAGUACAAAUUAAGAUUUUGAUCUCCAACCAGUUGAAGAUUUUCAACUCCCUCCUUUCUUUUCUUCUUGUUUAAUUUCUUGGUAAUCCCUUGCUCUCAAGUGUUUAUCCCAUCUAUAAACCCUUAAUCUUGGAUGGGUUCUCGAAAUUUUAGUGUUUCUCUCUUGAUUUCGCAAGAAUGGGUAUAAAACUCCUUAUUUUCUCUCAUUAUCGUUCCUGCAGAUUUUUGGUGAGGAGAGAGUAUUUAUACUCUAUAGUUUCCCUUAUUUGUAUUUAGGCCCCAUUUCCUUUAAAUUUCUGAAUUCUUGUCUUUUAUUUAACCAUACGCAUGAAUUUCUUGACUUUUAUUUCUCAUAUAGUUAGUUUUCAAUUUAAGCAACCUUUAUUUUUUUAUUUUUUUUCUGAGGUUUACAGUUAGUGUUUCAUUAUUUAAUUGAAAUGGUAUGUUUUGGUUUCGGAGCAUUUCGGCGUGCUAUUUCAGGAUUAUACUGUUCAUACUAUUCAUAUAUAUAUAUAUAUAUAUACAUACUCAAUAAACAUAAUUUUGAUUCAAAUUUAAAGAUAAACUAACUUGAAAUUAUGCAAUUAAAAUUUCAAACACAAGUAAAAAAAGUGAGAGUUGAACCAAUAUGACCCGAUCGACUAGAUAGGCCCAAAGACUACCUGAAUGACUGGUAAGAAUAGAGUUUGACUCAAAAAAAUUUAAGAUGACAUAGUUUUUUAAAAAAUAUUGAGAUGACAACAUAUUAGAUCGACCGGGUUCAACUCAGGUUAACCUUUUAAAUCCGUAAUCCAGGUCAUGAGACUAUAAUAACUCUAAAUAAAACAAAUCAAAACAAAUUAUAAAGCUCAAUUCUUAAUAAACCUAUUAUUUAAUAGUUAAAUUGAAAAAAAAUAAUCUAAAAAAAGGACACAAAAAAAAUGACAUUUCAAAACAAAAUUAUGAAAAUGUCACUAGCAGUCUCGCAAGGCCUUUCUAAACUCCAAUUGCUCUAUAAUUUUAACCUGAGAUAUAACAAUAUGUUAGGAAAAUCUUCAUAAGAUUUCAGUCUGAUCCACCAAUCGAAUUGAAAGAUAUGAUUGAUAUCGUAAAACUAGCUAAUAUUGUUUUAGAAAAAAAAAACAUUAUUUGGCCGGAAUGGAACCGGAACAUUCGAGCCAGAAUUUUGGCGGAAUUUAUGGAACGGGCUAAGACUCUGAGCAAGAUGAAAUUUGUUUCAGUUUGUUUUAUUUUUUAAAUUGGAAAGAGAUAUACCAGUCAUUUUGAAUGGAACAUAACAAAAUUGACAACCUUGUAUCAUGGUUGAUUAGAGUUUUUUUUUUUUUGUCUUUUUUUUCAAAAAUUUUUCCAACAUUGAGUUGAUUGGUAAUCGAGCUUCAUAAUUUAUAUGUUAACAUGCCAAAUUCAUGACCUGAGUCAUGAGACUAUAAUAACCUCAUAAAAGUAUAUUGAACAAAUUACAAAGCAUAAUUCUCAACCACCAGUGUUUAAAAAUGAAAUUGAAAAAAUAACAUAAAAAAUGACUCAAGUCAACUCAAGAACCUGCCAAAUCCGUGAUCCAGGUCACAAGACCUAGAUAACCUCAUAGAAAGCAAACUGAAAAAAUAAUUCGGGUCAACCUAGGUUACCCUGCCAAACACGCAACUCAGGUCAUAAAACUAGGAUAAUGCUAUAUAAAGCAAAUAGCAACAAAUUUUAAAGCAUAAAUCUCAAUCAACUUAUUUUAAAGCAUAAAUCCCAAUCAACUUAUUACAAUUCACUCGCAUUGUUCACUUUAGUGAACAGUGCUACAGUGGAGCCAUGCUCCACUGUUGAGGUUUCUCCCAGACGAGAAGCAAUAAAACGUUUAAGGAAAUAAAUGUUGCUUCUCCAAAACCUGCGGUGCCAUAUGGGUCCUACGUGCUGAAAGCACUUUUAUUUUCUUAACCAAACGUUUAUUAGCGUGGCUGCGGGUGAACCUCACCCGCAACCACGUUACCAAACGAGCACUUAGUCUCAAAGAAGAAACAAUUACUUGGUUCUAUAUCCUUAGCACGUCAAACAUGAGGGUAUGAACAGUAACCAUUGUGUCCACUAUAAAAUAUAAGGGGGUGAACAGUGCGGCUACAAAGUAUUCACCCCACACACUUUAUAUUAUAAGUAACUAGUUUUUGUAUUGGCACUCCGCGGCGGGGUGGUUAUUUUUUUAAGUAAAAAAAUAAUAAUAAGCAGGCUCUUACAAUGCACUUUUUAAUAUAAUUUUUUUUCAAUCACAAAUCAAAAUGCCUAUACAUAUAUUUAGUAAUUAGAUCGAUAUUUGAUAAAUAGGUAACUAAGAUUAAGAUAUUUGAUAUCACGACAUGAAUCAUGUGCUUAGUUGUGUUUAACAAUUAUGUUUCCUAGAGUUUUUUUUUAUGAACCAACCAUAUAUUCCGAUAAAAGGUAACAAAAAAUUCAUACCAAUAUUGAAUGAAGAAACUAAAAAAAAAAACCAAUAAAAAAAAGACUGUAUAAAUACACUAAUUUAUUGACCAUAUUGACAAAACAAGUCAAAACUGUAUAAAUACACUAAUUUAUUGACCAUAAGUAAAUGAUUGAGAUAAUAAUACGAAAAGAAAAACUUUUUACCGGACAAUGAUCAAUCCUGGUGAUGUCCAAAGUGUAAAUCAAACAUUUUAUAUCUUGCCAUGAGAAACAAAUAUAUCACAACUUGUUUUUAUUGUAUUCUAUUAUGACUUGUUUUGUGCCUUACAUUAUUUAAUAUAUUAAAAUAAAUUUAAUAAAUUAUACUGAAGCAAGAUCUAAUAUUAGAAAGUUAACGGAAAUAAUAAAUAUAUUUUUAAAUAUAUUUACAGUUCGGUCCCUUAAUUAACUUUUUGUUUGUAAAAUGUGGAGCUGUCAGCAAUAUUUCCUUAGUUUGUGUCGCUAACUGUGAUUAAAGGAUCAAUUAAUUAUUUAUUUAAAUCAACCAGAGGGAUUAAUCUGUUUGUUUAACAAAAAUACAGACACUAAUUAAAUAGAAUUUAACUCAAAUUUUAAUAAUCAAUAUUUUUAGAUGGAAUCUUGGUAGAAAAUUUAAUCAUCAUAUCCUGGGUAUUUUGGAAACAAAAUUGGAAACUUUGAAUGAUUUCACUAUUACUGCUAUAUGGGGUCGUCAUCCUAGGGCUUGGUAUGCAGUUCCCUCAUUAGGCCUUUCGGGGGGAUAUUAUGUAUAUGGAAUCCGAAUCUUUUUUGUGUCUCUAGCUGUUCUGUUGCUAUGAAUGGCUGUAUUUUGCAUAUUGAAGGCACCUUCACUCGGUCCAAUCUAGAUUGCCUAGUCUCUUUUGUAUAUGCUCCGAAUGUUGGGAACCUGAAGAAUGAGCUGUGGACUUAUCUUGUUACAUUCAGGGAUAGUGUUAGCAUGUCGUGGUGUCUUGCAGGUGAUUUUAAUGAAACCUUAUUCCCAUCAGAUAGGAAAGGCGGCUCACAAAUAACAUCUUCCAUGACAAGAUUUCAAAAUUGCAUUGAUGGUUGUAAUCUUAUGGAGCUCCCCUUAAAUGGGAGAAAAUUUACAUGGUCUCGAGGUAAUGCGGCGAGCCGUAUUGAUAGAAUAUUUUUAUUGGGGGAUUGGUUGCAGGCUUUCCCGUCCUCUACUUUAUUCGGUCUCUCAAAAUAUUCAUCUGAUCAUAGGCCUCUGCAUCUGUUGCUAGACUCUACAAAUUGGGGCCCGAAACCUUUUCGCUUCAUGAAUUGCUGGUGGCUUGCGUCUGAUUUCAGGAUUAUGAUUCAGAGCUUUUGGAGAUCACUCACGGUUUCAAAAUCUGGCAUAAGGAAAAUGGUCCCAGCUCUAAAGAUGUUGAAAGAGAGAUGUCGGCAGUGGAGUAAAGCUACUGUGGGAAACAUGAAUAACAGAAUUGAAGAACUGGAACUUGAAGCUGACUCAAUGGAUCAUCAAAAUGAGUGCAGGGUUUUGACUGCUGAUGAACUGAUUAGAAGUAAUUCCAUUGCCUCCCGGCUCAAAAUCCUGUAUAGAGCUCAAGAGUCUGCCUAGCAUUAGAAGUCAAGAAUUCAGUGGUGUAAGCUUGGAGAUAAAAAUACCCGAUUCUUUCAUUUAGCUGCAACAACAAGACAGAAAAAGAAUCAGCUUGCAUGCCUAGAGGUUGAUGGACAGAUCCUAUCUAAACCAAGCGAUGUGAAUCUAGCUGUCUUUCACUUUUUCCGCAACCUAUACUCCCAUCAGAACAGACCUAGAGCUUCAUGUUCAAACCUGGAAUUCUCAAGGCUGAAGCAUUCAUCCUCGGCUGCUCUUGAAUUGCCAUUUUCUGCAGAAGAGAUUACAGCAGCUGUGUGGGAUUGUGAUGGAAAUAAAGCUCCAGGUCCUGAUGGUAUUAACUUCCUUUUCAUCAAGAAAGCAUGGAACAUUAUAGGUGAGGACAUUAUCCAGAUGGUUGAUGAAUUCUAUCGGACUAAUCUCCUUCCUGCAGGUAUCAAUAGCACCUUUGUUACUCUUAUUCCGAAGAUUAAAGGUGCUAACAAGCUAUCAGAUUUCAGACCUAUUAGUUUGGUGGGCAGCCUAUACAAGAUCUUCUCAAAGAUUCUAGCAACUAGGUUGAAACAUGUUAUGCCAGAGGUCAUCUCUCAUCAUCAAAAUGCUUUCAUCAAAGGGAGGCAAAUUUUAGACAGCGUCUUGAUUGCAAAUGAGGUUCUUUCUUUCAUCAAGAAGAAAAAGGGUAAAGCUUAUCUUUUCAAAUUAGAUUUUCAUAAAGCCUUUGAUUCGGUGUUAUGGGAAUAUAUUAAUGAAAUCAUGGCUAGUAUGGGCUUUGACCUGGUUUAUGCAAUGCAUAUCAACGGCAAAAAUGUCUGUGCUUGUUAAUGGGUCUCCCACGGAGGAAUUCUGCUUAGCAAAAGGCCUACGCCAAGGAGACCCUCUCUCUCCGUUUCUCUUCAACAUUGCAGUCCAGGGCUUGAGUUGUAUGUUGCAGCGUGGCUGUGAUUUGGGUUUGACUUCGGGUAUAAACAUCGGCAAUACAGGGCUUGUCAUAUCUCACUUACAGUUUGCGGACGACACCCUUAUGUUCAGUUCAGACUCUUUACAUAGCAUGCAGAACAUUAAACGUAUCCUAUUAUGCUUUGAACUUGUCUCGGGGCUGAAGGUCAAUUUUUAUAAAAGCAGCAUUGUGGGUGUGGGUGUAGCAGCUCAUACAUGUAACUUCACGGCUCAGCUUCUCAGAUGCAAGCAGGAUCAGCUGCCUCUCAUGUAUCUUGGGCUCCCCAUUGGUGGAAACUUGGGCAGAGCUACAAUGUGGAAUCCUAUUUUGCGCAAUAUCAGUUGCCGAUUGGCUUCGUGGAAAGGCAGGUUCUUAUAUAUUGGGGGCUGUUUGUGCUUGAUUAAAUCUGUGCUCAGUAAUCUCCCCAUCUACUACCUAUCUAUGUUCCCCAUGCCUGUUACGGUAGCCUCCAAAAUUGAUCAGAAACUUCGAUCCUUCCUCUGGUCAGGAAAUGAGGAAAGGCACAAAAUAUGCAAUGUCAGCUGGGCCACUGUUACUCUUCCAAAACAUGCGGGGGGUCUUGGGAUUGGUUCCUUAAGGGACAAAAACACAGCUCUGCUAUUUAAAUGGUUAUGGAGGUUUGGGUUAGAGGAAUCAAGUAUGUGGAAGGAUGUGAUCAAAAGCAUCCACAACACCAAUUGCUCUAAACUGCUGCUGCAAGCUCCUAUUCCAGGAGCUGCAACUACAUGGUCCCGGAUUGUUAAUCAUUGUGUGAGAAAUAAUAAGCUGCAGGAUAUUGUGAAUGAGCAAUCUCUGGUUCUUAUCGGAAAUGGCAAGAAGACUAUGUUUUGGCUUGAUUGCUGGCUUAAUAACCACUGUUUAGCAGAGCACUUCCCUACUCUUUUCCAAUUAUCCAAUGACAAAGCUGCCAGCAUUGCUAAGAUGGGAAUAUGGGAAGGGUAUAAGUGGAUUUGGGUUUUUUCCUGGAUACGUCCACUACGGGGGCGAAACAUUGGCUUGCUCGAUCAACUAUAUGCAAUCCUAUCGACAGUAUUGGUAAGCCAUGGCCAUCUUCUUGGUAUGUUCUCUGUUCCAGUUGGUAUUUUAGACUCUAAUAUUGCUGAGUUAAGGGCUAUUGUCAAAGCCAUUGAACUAUCAGCAUCUAAUUGUCUCCUCCACCAUCAACACCUCAUCAUAGAAUCUGACUCUGUCAAUGUUAUUAGCUAGAUGAAUAAGCCUCACAGCCGUCCCUGGAAGCAUCAUAAUUUGUUCUCCUUUGUUAAUAGACUGAAACCAUAUUUUGGUUCAAUCACCUUCUCCCAUAUCUUUCAUGAAAGUAAUUGCAUGACAGAUUGCAUGGCUAAACAAGGAGUGCGGAGAUCAAGUGAAUUUGUUGCCUGGCUUUGACUCCACCAUUUUUCUGUGGCCUUGCUCUUGUGUCUUCUGCCAUUAUGUCUUUGAGUUAUUUCUGUUAUGUUUUGUAGAGGAAUGUUUAGCUUUGAGCUCAUUCGGAUGGAUAUUCUAUGGUUUUCUUUGCUUUUGUUUAUCUUAGUCUGCGCUUUAUCCUAUAUAUGGCUUUUUGCCAUAGUAAGAUAAUGUGUAGCUUCUGUACUACUCCCGCCAGACUUUGGCGUUUAAUAAUAUACGCAUCUUUCAAAAAAAAUCCAUGUGAAUCGCACGACUUGUCCAUAUCUUUCUUAUUGAUUACAAAUAGCAUUGAGAAUUAAAGAAUAUUAUCUUAAUAAGUUCCAAUUUAUUCUACAAAAACUAUAUAUAAAGAUGUAUACAAAUUAGUUAUUUAUUGUUUGUAAGUAUUAUUGUAUUGCAAAGACAAAAAUAAGAUGCAACUUAUGGCGUGGUCGUCCAACCUGGUUCAGGUUUUGAUCCUGUUAAAAAUCUAUUUUGUUGAAUUGUUAUCUACUUGUGAGUUAUUGGGUUAACUAGAUCAAUUUUUUAAACAAAACAAUAUCAUUUAAAAAAAAAAAAUUGGUUCUGACUUAGAAAUAUAAUAUUAGAAACUUAAAUCUUAUUAUUAUAAAAGACUCAAUGGUAAAUUUAGUUUUGAAAUAGAUUUUUGUAAAAUCAAAUAUCAACUAAGCACCUGGAAAUUUAUUUGAAAUUACAAUAACCUUGUAGAAAACAAACAUAAAUAGAAUUAUUAAAUUCAAUGGAGUCCAUGACCUGAAUUACGGGUUCAACGGGUUAAGCCACGAAGCUCUGAUCGAUUUAAAAUAUUGUCGUCUUAAUAUAAAAAAAAAAUACAUCUUAAAAAAAAUAAAUUAAGCUAGACUACGUUUUUACCUAUUAUCUGGGUUGUUUUUAGGUUCAUCAUUUCGACUGAGUUAUAUUAGGACAACUACUACAUAAUUUAAUUUAAAAUUAAAGCUAAACAAGAAAUUAGGUAAAGAGAUUUUAAGAUUGAUUUGUUGGAUUGGAUUUAAUAACAAUACAAAAAAUCUAAAUAUUUCUUUUUUAUUAAAAAAAAAUUCAAUCCAACUCUCAUCGUAACGCAGUAUAGUAAGAUAAAUAGAUAUAAAUAUUUUGAUGGAUACUCGGGAUAAAAGAUUGUUUGAGGACAUUUUGCUAAUUUCUUUUGUUAUCUAAUCAAUCAAGCUCAUAGUGAAUAAGUAUAUUAAUAUAUACAAUUAAAUUAAAUAACAUAUAAGAGAAAAAUGGUCGCAAGCUAAAGCUAAAGUGAUGCGACGUUGAGCCACUAGUCGAUAGUUGUAACGUCAGUUUGUUGGUUCGUCGUUCGUUUCUCGGGCGAGUUUGGUUGUGCUAAACACAAUGAACCAAUAGAGUGCUUUGCUUUCUUACUUGGAGAUUCUGGAGCCUUGGAUUUUUUGAUAUUUAGGUUAUCUGUUUCUAGAAAAGAAAGAAAGAAAUAUUUAUAUUAUCAAUGCAAUGCAAUGAAACGACUAAAUAACAUUUAAUUAUUAUCAUAGCUUUGUCCUCGUACCUAAGGAAGUAUACUACGUCUUUUUCUCCAUUGUUUGAGUUUGAAAUUAUAUCUGUGAACCCAUUAAUUUAUCUAGAAAAAACAUUUAUUGGGUAAUUGGAUCAAUCAUUGAGGUCGUCAUAUCAUAUAUAAACCAAUUAUUUUAAUUAAAACAAUAUCAUUUUAUUUAAAAUUAAAUUUAUAAUACUAACUGAAUCCCUAAAAACACAAUUAGACCAAUCAAGUUUUAGCAAGUUAAUUUUUUUUUUUAAUUUUUUCAUAUUUAACUUGAAAUUCAAUCCAAAUUAAAUUAUAAAUUAUGGGUUUCUUAAAUUAACACAUGUUGGGUCAGGUCUACCAAUUAUGAUUGGAAUCCAGGGUUAAUAUCUAGAAGAAUUUAUUAAAUUUCUGUAUAAUUAGUCAAUCGAUGAGGGAAUUUAGUUUUGAUUGAUGGAGAAAUUAAUUUAAAGAUACCAUGCAAGAUAUAUAUAUAUAUAUAAACAUUUAAAGGGAAACGGACCCACCAUCAAUUAUUGUUAUUCGUUUAAUUAUAAAUAGAAUGAAGAGAAUGAUGCUCGCUGCACUUUUAUCAGCGACUGAUAAACCCCAGAAGGAGAACACUCUACAGAAUUAUUCCAUACUUUUUCGUAAAUUAUAAAUUAAAAAGAAAUUGGUUAUAACAUGGUUAACGAACACAGCACAAAAAUAAACAGGUGUAUUUCUUACAUAAAUUCUUAUUGUUUUGUUUUUCCAUUGGUUUCAUGAAAUUCUCUCAACAAUUGAACAAAAAACACUACAUCAUAGCUCACAAACAUACAUUUUAUAAGUCAAUUAAACCUCUUGUUUUUCUUAUGUGUCUUUUUAUUGUAAUCUCUGCAAGGUGACACCUGACAGAGCAAUCUGUUGAUAGGUCCAAUUCUGCUUUAUGUUGUGUUUCUUGCUGAGCAAAUAAAGGUCAUGGGUUUUCUUUCUUUCUUUUUCCCUUAUAAAAAUGGUCAUGCGGCCACAGACAGUUGCGAAAAAAAAGAAGCACUUAAUUAUCACUUAUUUGGUAAGUAGCGUACUUAUCAGAUGACCCUCAACCAUCAGUACCCAUUAUAAAUUAAUGUCGACAAGAGUAAAAUUAGGAGUUACCGUGACUUUCCAACAUCUAUCAUUAUAAAUUAAGUAUCAACAACGAUUAAGACUAAUUGUUUUACCAAGAUUCUCAACCAUUGUAAAAAUAGAUUUGAAAAAAAAAUCAUAGCAAAAAUUCAAAAAAAUAAAAAUUGCAUUGCUUUCCAUAUAUAUUUUAGUUUUUCUUAUAAUAAUAAUAAUAAUUAUAGUCUCUCGUGUCUCACAACUGUAUGUGUUUUUUCUUGAAUAAGCGCUAAUGUUCUUUGAGGGGUCCAAGCACCAUAUACUGAAAGAAAGAACUAGUUCAAAUUGAAGCACCAUGAGUUUCUCUACGGCUUGGUUCACCACCUGCUGGUGCGGCAAGUUAUGAACUAGCUGGCUAGUUUUUUGCUUCCUUGGUUUUAGAAGCACCAUGUGUUCAAAGAAUAGUCAACAAAGAAAAAGAAAAAGAAAAAGAGAAGGGCAAAAGGUUAAUUAAAAUCAGCAGGACUGCCAUGAGGCAACCUCAAGUAGUGAACUUGAAGGAAUAAAAAGUGCUGGGAAGUAAUUUUUGCUGAAACUUCUUGUGUAACAUCUUCUUUUGAUGAUGACCUCUUGGAUGGCUGCAUGAAGCUUGUUCCGUUUUAAAUUUCAAGGUUAAUCUAUUUCUAUGAGCAUUGGUGUUUCAAUUUCAACCUUAAGUUGCAACUGAACUUAAAUGAAUAGUGUUGGAUUUGGGCCUUCUAUUUGCUUUAACUUCUACAGGAUUGAAAUGAUAGUGAUCUUAAAGUACAAAAGCAGCAGACAAAAAUCAAUUAGCCACAAUAUAUAGUGUAUGGUUUCCUAGUUUCUCAGUAUAAAGUUGAAUGUUUUGGUGAUAUCUCUACAUCCAAAAUCAUAUAGACAGCUACUGCUGGCACUUGCAGUGGUCAAUGAAUACUAUAGAGUACAUAUUGCAGUUUGAGAUAAGGUUAACUCGUUGCAUUUUCAUAUAUUGAAAGGAUUUCUCUUCUUUUCUUUGUCAGUUACAGAACAUGCAUAGAAGUGUUCUUAUUCAGAGUAAAUGCUAUUGUAAUGUUUUCACGGACUCCCUUGCUUUGCAACUAAGUCACUAAUUAUCUUGGAACAUAGCCAUAAAUAAAAGGUUCUUCCAGUUCAAGAAAAUUAACCAUGAAGCUAGUAGCUAGAAUUUUUAGACAGAAUGGUGGCCAAGUAAACUCCUAUACUCUGUACCUCUGGAAUAAUGCAGGGAAAGGAUGUCUAUGUAUUUUGAUGUCUUAUAUUACUUGACCAACUCUUGCUUAUCUCAUUAUUUGUUUUUACUUUUUGCUAAUGAUUCCACACAUUUUUGAUAUUGGUGUGGUUUAUGACUUCAGGGUUCUUACUCGCUACUGCAACUUCUCUAUACUUGCUUGGUCAUUAAAUAUGAAACGUGAUGAUUUGCAUAUGCAGAAUGGAGACAUUAAAGAGGCAUCUUCUGUUUUCUAGUUAGGAGGGAUUACCAGAACUCAAGAAAUUUGUCGUACAUUUUGAGGAAAAGAUUUAUACCACCGCUACCAAUCAGGUAUUUGCCUAAUGCGAGGUUCAAUAAUUACGAUAUUAUCUAGACAUGAAUAUACACACGCAUUUAUGCUUGUACAAAUGUGUGUGUAGUGUGCCUACAUUUCCACACCUUUCAUUCUGUAUGCAAGGCUGAUUAAGAGUUCGCAUCUUUUUGUUAAUUCUCUUGACAAGUGUUUUAUUUAGAGUGACCAAGUUCAAGUACAUGGGAAGUGUGCAAAAAGCAAAUAGCGAAUCAAUACAUAAAUAAGUAAAUAAAAAGAGAGGAAACAGAAGUCUAUCCUCACAAAAGAUGAAAUGAUAGAGCAUAUAUCCAUUUUCCUCCUCUUGUAACAUGGAUUGCUCUGAGAUCUAAUGUUUUGUUAUUAAUAUCUUAUUUUAGUCUGAUUAUCUGCAUAAAAUAUCUCUGGUGAUGCUUUUGAUGAAGAUCAGGUCUCAAAAUGCCAUGCCCACUGCCCCCAUGGAUCCAGCAGGUAAUAAUGCAUUCGAGCAUCGAAUUUCUAAACAUCUUACCUUUUGUUUUUCUUCUCGCAUUGUUAUCAAACUUUUUUACAUUUUAUUGUUCCAUAUUGCUAUGUAUAUCGCCUUGCUGGCAAAAUGUCAUGAUCACCUCCACAAUACUAAUUCUGUAAUGCGUGUGAAGUGUUUCAUCCUUAACUUGUUAAUGAACGAGGACUAUGAUGCAUGGCUAUUUUAUAUUUUAUGAUUGAGAUGGUAGAUUUUAAAGAUUUUCCUUUUUAGGAGAUAAGACGUCACUUUCUUGCUUUUCUUCCGAGAGUAUUCGAUCCUUUUUUCGUACAAAAUAAUGAUGCCAUGCAUUGAAUUCCCAAACAUAUUACCUUAUGUUUUGUUUGGUCGCAUUGUUAUCAAACUCUUUUACAUUUUAUUGCGGCAUAUUGCUAUGUGUAUGGCAUGCUUUAAUCAAAAAUUUGAUUAAUUGAUGAAUGUUAGGCAAGAAAAUUACAGAAUAUUUUUGUUUUUUGCCUCCUCCUUUUCUUUCCCCCACUCCGAAAAUUGUCAUAUUAUUUUUGUUUUCAACCGCCUCUUCUUCCCCCAACCCUGAAAAUUGUUUAUAUUUGCUUUGGAAGCAUGGCAAACUUCACUGCCUCUCAGCUUAAGGAGAUUGCAGCAGGUCUCGAAGCUUCUGGGCAUCAAUUUAUCCGGGUAGUUAGAAGAAACAAAAAGAGUCAAGAAGACAAGGAAGAUUGUUUACCCGAAGGAUUUGAGGAAAGAAUGGAAGGCAAAAGGAUGGAUACUCCAAGUUUUGAUUCUUGAUUAUAAAGCAAUAGGUGCAUUUGUGACUCAUUGAGGAUGGAACUCAACUCUUGAAGGCAUAAGGCCAAUAUUUGCUGAGCAAUUCUAUAAUGAAAAGUUGGUGACUGAUGUUUUAAAAGUUGGUGCUGUCGUUGAAUAUAUUAUAGCUGUCAAGGUUCUUGAGUUUUCCCAAAUGUGAUGAUAUGAUCUCAAAACCUGCAAGAGAGUUGUUUGUAAGAGUAAGUCAUGAUGAGCUCACGAUAUGCAAAACAGAUAGAAACAAAAGAUAAUUAGAAUUGAUGAGAUGCUGUUGUUCAAUUGAUGUAUGAUUCUCAAAUUAUACAUACAUAUAUAUAUAUAUAUAUAUAUAUAUAUAUAUAUAUAUAUAUAUAUAUAUAUAUAUAUAUAAUUGAUAUUUAUAAAAGCAUUAACUGUAGCUGAUAUAGUUUUAGAGGAAUAUUUGGUACUUUGUUUCCCAAAAAAAAAAAUAGAUUUUUCUGCGAAGUAGGAAAAAAAAAAAAAAAAACUGUUCAAAACUUAUUCAAGAAAUUAUACAGUUAGCGAGUCACAGAUGAUGAAUCUUAAAAAAAAUUGGCAAUAAUAACAGUACUCUAUUACUAUUAAUUAACUUAAAUAUUCAAAACUUAAAAAUAUUUUUUAAAUUUAUCCAUGCCAAUUUAUCUUAAGAGAGUCGCAAUCUGUGACUAGUUAAAUUAUAUUAUUUCUUUAAAUAAAUUUUGCAUUGUGUUAUUUUUUGUUCUAGGUGCUAUUUUGCAAAAAAAGAAAAGAAAAGAAAGAUUAACGUUUCAGUUAUUCAUUGUUCUUGGAUUUGUAGGUAUAACAACUGAAGAUAGCAAUCAAAAGCGAUGGUGACAUGGUAGAGCUUUGAGUUAUUGCUGUGUUCUAAUGAUGAAGAUGUAGGAAAACGAUCUCCCUUCUGCUGUCUGGAGCUGGGCUUCCUCUCCCUGUAAGAACAAGCAACAUCUUAUCUGCGUUGUUGUUAGUGGCCACUUCAUCGACCCAUUAGUGGGUGGAUUUUAAGCUUAAAAAGGAUUUUUUUUAAAAAAAAAAUAAAGGAAGAAAGAAAGGAGAGGGGGGGCAUCAUCACGUGAAAAGCAAGGAGGUUGCCACCCAUUAUAGAGUGUGGGGCACUCUUGCAUCUAAGAAUAUAUGAUCCUGAGGUUGUUCUGGUGAUGGGUAUUGGCCAUUACAUAAAGCUUCGACAAGCCCUUUUAGCUGCCUGUUAUUAGAAUUUGUAUAAUGAGCAUUCAAACUUAAACUUCUUUAAAUGGGAUGAAAACGAGUGAAAAUCAAGAAGUUGGAGGUGUUCAUCUCUAAUGCAUAGCUGAAGAUCCUUUGUAAGAAAAUACAGCUAAAGACAAAGUGUGUGUGUGUAACAGAGAAAUUGUCGAUAAUAGCAAUCAUGUUCUUUGUCUCUUGUGUCAUAUCUUCCAAAAAUCUUAAAGUAAUUGAUGAAAAAGUGGAUAUACCACUUUGUCUUCUUUAUAGCACUACUGGCCAAUAUGAGUUAAAAGCAUUAAAAGGUCGUGAACGCGGAUGCUUGACGAGCGAGUGUUUACUUGUUAAUUUUUUUAGAAGGAAUCUGGAAAAGAAUAAAGUCAUCUAUUUCACUUUGGGACAACAUUCCUCACCUCUCCCCGCCCGAGCUCUCUCCCUCCCUCCCUCCCUCCCUCGCUCGCUCCCUCUUCCGCCUCUCGGAAACCGCCGCAUCCAUUAAGGCUUCAGAUUUCUGCCAGGUGCUUCCUUUUCUAUCAUGCUUUUGUUUUUAAAAUUUAUGGGUGUUUUCAUUUAUUUUAUUGUAAUUAUUAUUCAGAGACAGAAAUCCAUUUUAAUAAGUAAAUUAAAAAAAAACAAAUAAUCGAUCCGAUGAAAUCUCUGCUAGUGAACGCAAUUCGAUUUUAAUAAGUAAAUUAAAAAAGUAUAUAAUCGGAUCCGAUGAAAUCGCUGCUCGUGAACGCAAUUCAAAGAAACGCACAAUCAGCCGAUUCUAAUAUUUUCUUUUGCAACCCCACCCUAAUUUACAUGAUAUUAUUCGAUUUUUCUCACAGUUAUUGUUGUAAUAAUCAAGCCCUGAAUUCUUGAACCCAAAUUUAUCUUAUUUUAUUUUAUUUUUUAGUUUUAUUUUUAAGUGGAGAAUAGAAAUCAAUUCAAAUCUUUUAGGCUCGAUCGAUAAUUUGUUAAUUAGUUUAUGCAGCAGCUGGAGUGGAAGGGAUAUUACUGCCGGAAUGGCCGAAAAAUGAGCUGUUUGGUUGAUUCUUCUUUUUUGGAAUUUACUGAAUUCUUCAAAAUUAUUGUGUUUUUAACAACAAUACGAUAUCCUUGGGUUUCAUGCUCGCUCACAAAUGGAAAAAAGAAAGAAAGAAAAGAACUUUAAAUUUUAUAAUUUGGUCAUGUUAAUGCUCGUCGUUUUCUUCUUCAUUUUCCUAGCUUAAAACAUCCUAGACAAUCUCUUUGGGAUGGGUUAUUGUUUUUGGCCUCUUCAUCUUCUAUUUGUGCUGUGGUAUUUAGUCUGCUGAUAUUCUUUGGGGAUUAAAAUGCCUCGUUUUAUGACUUUGUUUUGUUUUCUUCUUCUUUCUUUAUUCUUUUGGGGAUGUGGUAUUCUCCUCUUUCUAUUUACACUCUUUGCUCCCUACAACAUUUAUUCUUUCAGAAAAGUAAAUACAUACAUAAAUAACAACAGGAGAGGAGGGGGAGGGGGAGGGGGUUUGACGGUAUGUAUUUGGAUGCAUGAUAUCUAAAUUGGUAAGCACCUGAAAAAGGUCCUGAAUCUAAAUUGGUAAGAUGUGAUAUACUGAUAUCUAGAGAGAUAACUUAAUCUAUCUAUUGAAGUAAAGCAUUUAAAUGCGUAUACAAUGUUUUUGGAUCAUUAAAUAUCUAUUUGAUCAGAAUCUGUGAACCUAAAGCCACAAUGAAUACAAAUGCAAGUUUGUCAUUGUAAACAUUGCAUCGAUGAUGCAUCACAGGUGUUGCUAGAAAACAUCAAGUUAAAAUUGAAGCACCAUGAGUUUCUCUAUGGCUUGGUUUACCAACACUCACCAUCAGUUGGUGCGGCAAGUUAUGAACUAGCUGGCUAGUUUUUCGCUUCCUUGGUUUUAGAAGCACCAUGAAGAUUCAGGCCCAAAUCUUGCUUACAAUACUCAAAUACCCAAGAUCCUAGCACCUUGCCCUGAAUGGUCGUGUAUAUUUGUUAUGGCUGUUCAGAUUUUAUGCAUCCAUGUUUGGUAGAAUUCUUUAAUAAAGUACAUGCUAUUAGAUGGAAGUUCUCUUUAAAUCUAUUCAAGUCUGAAUAAACUGAUAUUCCAAUUUUCAUGACUUUGAUUAGGCGGAGAACUUGUGAUGGACACAGGUGAUUGGAGAACUCAAUUGCAGCCUGGCUCACGGCAAAGAAUAGUCAACAGAAUGUAAGUAUCUGUUUGCUAAUAUGUACAAGUGCUGCAAAAUAGUAAAUCUUGUAUUUAAAUGAAAGAAAAAGAGAAGGGCAAAAGGUUAAUUAAAAUCAGCAGGACUGCCAUGAGGCAACCUCAAGUAUCAUACACUGCUGUUUUUGUCUUUUUCAUUUUUCACGUGUUUCUCACAAGAAGUGAACUUGAGGGAAUAAAAAGUGCUGGGAAGGAAUUUUGGUGGAACUUCUUGUGUAACAUCUUCUUUCAAUGAUGACCUCUUGGAUGGCUGCAUGAAGCUUGUUCCGCUUUAAAUUUCAAGGUUAAUCUAUUGCUAUGAACAUUGGUGUUUCAAUUUCAACCUUGAGUUGCAACUGAACUUAAAUGAAUAGUGUUGGAUUUGGGCCUUCCAUUUGUUUUAACUUCUACAUGGUUGAAAUGAUAGUGAUCUUAAAAUAGAAAAGCAGUUGAAUGUUGAAUGGUGUAUGGUUUCCUAGUUUCUCAGCAUAAAGUUGAAUGUUUUGGUGAUAUCUCUACAUCCAAAAUCAUAUAGACAGCUACUGUUGGCACUUGCAGUAGCCAAUGAGCACUGUAGAGUAUAUAUUCCAGUGUGAGAUAAGGUUAACUCAUUGCAUUUUCAUAAAUUAAAGGGAUUUCUCUUCUUUUCUUUGUCAAUUACGGUGCAUGUAUAAAAGUUUUCUUACUUAGAGUAAAUGCUAUUGUAAUGUUUUCACAGAAUUCCCCUGGUUUGCAACUAAUUCACUUAUAUAUCUUGGAGCAUAGCCAUAGCCAUAGCCGUAAAUGGAAGGUUCUUCUGGUUCAAGAAAAUUAACCAUGAAGCUCGUAAUUAAAAUUUUAGACAGAAGGGUGGCCAAAUGAACUCCUAUACCCUGUACCUCUGGAAUAAUACGGGGAAAGGAAGUAAAAAUAGAUGUCUGUAUUCUGAUGCCAUAUAUUACUUGACCGACACUCGGCUAUAUCAUUAGUUGUUUUUAUUUUUUGCUAAUGAUUCCAUUGAAUACAUUUCUGAUAUUGGUGUGGUGUGUGAGUUCAUGGUUAUUUCUCACUGCUGCUAACUUCUCUAUACCUACCUUGUCAUUAAAAAUUAAACGUAAUGUUUUACAUGUGCAGAAUGGAGAUAUUAAAGAGGCAUCUUCCGUUUUCUGGUCAAGAGGGAUUACAAGAACUCAAGAAAAUUGCUGUACGGUUUGAGGAAAAGGUUUAUACUGCCGCCACCAGUCAGGUAUUCGGCUAAUGCUAGGUUCAAUAAUUUCGAUAUUCUCUAGACAUGAAUAUAAACAUGCAUAAGUUUGUGGAUUUAUGCAUGUACACGUGUGUGUAGUGUGUCCACACUCUCACUGGUCAUUCCGUAGAAGUUCUCAUCUGUUCAUUAAUUCUCUUGACAAGUGUUUUAUUUAGAGUGACCAAGGUUCUUUUCAAGUACAAGGGAAGUGUGCAAAAUGCAAAUAACGAAUCAAUACAUAAAUAAUUAAAUAAAAAGAUAGGAUACAGAAGUAUAUCCUAUAUCCUCACAGAAGACGCAAAUAUAGAAAGCCUAGCAUAUUAGAAAGAGCAUUUAUCCCUUUCCCCCCUUCUCUUGUAACAUGGACUGCUCAGAGAUCUAAUGUUUCCUUAUUGAUAUCUGAUUUCAGUCUGAUUAUCUGCGUAAAAUAUCUCUGAAGAUGCCUCAGAAUACCAUACCCACUGGCAAUGGUAACAAACCCCUGUAUCCAGGGGGGAAGUGUGCAAAAUCCAAGCUUUGAAUUUCUAAACAUCCUUACCUUUUGUUUUAUAUUUCGCAUUGUUAUCAGACCCUUUUACAUUUUAUUGCUGCAUUUUGCUAUGUAUAUACUAAUCCCUGUACUUUUACAUUAUGUUAAUAAACUGGUCCCUUCAUUAGUUUUUUGUUAGUCAAAUGUAGAGUUGUUAGCAAUAUUUCCUCAAUUUGUUCCACUAACUUGACGUUAAAAUGUGACCAAAGAAUCAAUUAAUUAUUUAAAAAACUUGAGGGAUUAAUUUGUUUGUUUCACAAAAAAAUACAGUGGUUAAAUAAAAUUUUACUCAAAUUUUUAUCAUCAUAUUCGUGAGUGUUUACUUGUAAAUAUUUUGGAAUGAACACAGUGGUUAAGUUUAUGUUUUGCGCAGCAUAAAAAAAAUCAUCUAGGCUUAAAUAAUUAUUUGGCAUCAUAAUUAAAACUCUAAUCCAAAUUUCUCUCAUCUGGCUUCUUAUCUAUAUCAAGUUUAAAAUUAACCAAUGUGAAAGUUGCUCUAACAUGAUAUAAUUAAUGUGAUGGGUUCCAAGUCAAUUCAUAUGACCAGUAAAAAAACAUAAUUUAGCUUUAAAAAAAAAAUUCAAGAUGAUACUUGUUUUGAACAUUGAUACGACAUCUUGGAUCGACUCUAGUUUUGUGACGUAACUCUUUAAACCCAUGACUUGAAUAAUGGAUUCUAUCUGGUUUAAUUUUUUAUAAAAAAAAUUAUUUUUUACUUAAUAAUAUGAUAAUAAAAAUAAAAACUCGUAAAAUUGAGCACUAAUCAAAUAUUAAGAUAUUUAUUUGAGACUGCAAUAACAUCAUUGAAAGCAAAUUGAAACAAAAUCAAUUCAAAAUCAAAUAAAUGUUAAACAAAUAUUAAAAGAUGAAACCAGACAAAAGCCAAAAAGGAUUUAAUUGAAAGAAAGAAAAUAUUGGAAUGUAGAGUUUAAAAACUAAGGAAUAAUAUUUAUUAAACUUGAUCCUAAUCUAUCGACUUGACUUCUUACCUAACAUAUAUUUAAAAUUAAUUUGUAAGGGAGUUGUCUGUACAUUACCUAGUUGACUUGACAUGUGCAAAUUAAAGCAACCUGAAUGACCAAUAAAAACAUGGUUUGGAUUUUAAGAAAAAAAAUCAAGAUAUCUUUUUUUUUUAAUAUUGAGACGAAAAUAUAUUAGAUCAACUCAAGCUCCGUGGCUAAACUCGUCAAAUACGCAACCCAGAUCAUGAACUCCACUAGAUUUAAAAACUAUUUUUUUAUAUAAUGAUACAAUAACUAAUAUAAACACUUAUAAAAUUGAGAACUAAACAAAUUUAGUGACGUUUAUUUGAUAUUGUGAUAACUACAUAUAAAGAAAAAAACAAAUUAUGACCAAUUCAAAAUUAACAAAAUAUUAAAGUGAAAUUGAAAGGAAAAAAAGGGCAAAAAUCAUUCAAUCAAAAGAAGAAAAAAUUAGAAGAUAGAAUUUUUUUUUUAAGGGAGGAUAUGAAUAGCAAAAUAGGAGGGAAAACCCUAACUUUUUUUAGUAUAAUAAAUGAUGUUUAAUUUAAUUAAAAUCUUUAUCUCAUACAAUUAGACCUAAAAAGAGAAGAAAAUUUCUAAAGAUUGAUUUGUAAAAAAACAGAAAAAAAAAUCAAAUCAAGAAGCGAAAAAAUACAAGGACCAAUAUACACACACAUAGUGAAAGAGUUAGAAAAGCAUAACUUUUUUAGUAUAGUAGUUUAUUUCUAAUUAAAUUGAAAACUUUAUCUCAUAUAAUUAGGCCAAAAAAGAAUUAAAUAAAAAAAAAAGGAUUAAUUUAUAAAAAGAAAAAGAAAAAUAAAGAAUACAGAACCAAAUCAACAAAGAAAAAAACUAAUUUUUAAAAAAUAAAGUGCUCCACUAUUCAUAUAAAAUAGAACAUCAUUAUAGUAUCCAAUUAGACAGUGACCCAUAUUACUGGCUAUUUUAAUUUUUUUAAAGAAAAAAAAGUUUCAGUAUUUUCAAAUGUGAUAAGUUUUUUUUUUAUAAAAAAAAACAUAUAUGUGUGCAAGGGAAUAGAGAUUUGGUUUGAGAAUACAUGCUAAAAAUCUAAACAUGAACUAAAACAAAGUGGAAUUAAAAAGAGUAAAAAAAAAAAACCUAAAAGAGAUCCAUGAUUCAUUAUAUAUAUAGACUAUGAGGUUACGAGGUAAAAUAUUAUGGAUUAGCAUAAUAUAAUUACUUUUUACCCUUCUCUACACAACAAUUACCUUGCUAAUAGGGGUAAAGUUGUCUUUUUCAAUGAUUUUAAAGGUUAUUUAUAAAUUCACUGGAGAUAAUUUAGUAGGUUUACUCCUUUUUUGCAUAUUAAAACUACAUCAUUGCCUUUGCAAGCCAAAAAAAGAAAAAACAAUUAACCUUUUGUUUAAGAUCUAUUUUGUAUUUUGUAUUUGAUUUAUACAGUAAAAUGACAUUAAUGCCUUAGAGAGUUAAAAAAUCAUCGACUUUAAGUUACUGGGCCUUAAACUUUGUUAUUUAUUUUGGUUUUUUUUUAUAGGGUUAUUUCUAUCUCAUAUCUCAAGUUGCAGAUAAGUUAGGUUGGAUGCAUACUUAAUUAAUUAAUAAAAGUCAUGUAUAUAUUUUUGCAAAUUGGAUGCACACUUAAUUAACAUACUUAUUGAAUAUUAAGUCAGGCAAAAAAUCUAUAAAAAGAAUAUACAAGUGAGCCAAACAACAAUAUUAAGAACGAAUAAGAGGUAGUAAAAGAAGAUGAUACCAAAGGACGCAAAAUCACAAAAAUUCAUGAAACUACAUUAGGCUCUCUACAAGUGAAUUGUUUAAAAAGUUAAAAGAAAAUAAAUGCACUUUUGUCCACAGCAACAACUAAAUGCACUUUUGUUCAAUACCAAGAAAUUAAACAUUUUUUAAAAAAAAAACUAAAUGAAUUGUUUAAAAAGUUAAAAGAAAAUAAAUGCACUUUUGUACACAGCAACAACAACUAUAGCAAAAUGCUGGGCUGUAGAAUCUAGAUGAUUGUCCACAGCAACAUGAAAAAAUCAUAUAUGCUUAAGUAACUAUUUGGCAUCUCAAUCUAGUAAAUUAAUCUUAAAUUUCUUAUAUCCGACUCUUUACCUAUAUUAAAUUUAAAAUUAACCAACAUAAAAAUUGUUUUAAUAUGACUUAAUCGAUAUAGUUGGUUCAAAGUCAAUCCAUAUGACCGAUAAAAAAUGUAAUUUGGCUUAAAAAAUUUCAAAAUAACAUCUUUUUUAUAACAUUGAUACGACAAUAUAUUAGAUUGACCCUGAUUUCAUGACUUAACUCUCUAAACCCACUACCUUAAUAACGGACUCCUUCUAGUUUAAAAACUUUUUUUUAAUUAUUUUUUACUUCAUGAUAUUAUAACAAAAAUAGAUGCUCAUAAAAUUAAGCACCAACCAAAUAUCAAGAUAUUUGUUUGAGAUUACAAUAAUAAAUAUCAUAAAAAGCGAAACCGAAACAAGACCAAAUCAAAAUAAAUCAAAUGUUAAAGGAUUAAACCAGGAAAAAGCCAAAGAGGAUUCAAUUAAAAGAAAGAAAAAAAAAAUAGAAGGUUGAGUUUAAAAACAAAGUAACAAUAUGACAUUGUUAUUAAACUUAAAGGAAAAAAAAACUAAUUUAAAAAAUUAAAGUGUUUCACUAUUCAUGUAAAAAUGAAAUACCAUUAUAGUAUCCAACUAUAUAGGUGACCUGCACUAUGGGUUAUUCUAUUUUUUUAAAAGCAAAAAAAUAAAGUUUCGACAUUGUUAGAUUGUGAGAAAAAAAAAGUUUUAAAAAAUAUCCGUGUACAAAAGAGGAGAGAGAUUUGGUUUGAGAAUGCAUGGUAAAAAUCUAAACAUGAACUAAAAAACAAAGUGGAAUUAUAAAAAUUAAAAAAAAAACUAAAAGAGGUAAAUGAUUCAAGUGAUUCAUUAUAGACUAUAAGGUAAAACACUAUGGAUUACACACAAUAUAUUUACUUUUUUCUCUUCUAUACACAAAAUAAUUGUCUUGCUAAUGGGGAUAAAGUUGUUUUUUUAAAGGGAUCUAAAGGUUAUUUGUAUAUUGAUCGGGGAUAAUUUAGUAGAUUUACUGCUUUUUUUGAACAUUAAAACUACAUCUUUGCCUUUGCAAGCAAAAAAAAAAAAUUGUCCUUUCGUUUAGGUUUAGGGUUUAUUUUAUCUUUCCUAUUUUUUUUCAUAGUAAAAUAACAUCAAUAUCCUUGAUAACAAUACAACAACAAAGGAAAAUACCAAUAUUUAAAAUACAACAACUCUUUUUUUCCCAUCUUCUGUUUUCUUUUUUUCAUAUCAAUACAACAACAAAGAAAAAUACAAAUAUUUAAAAUACAACAUAAAAUUUAUUUUCCUGUAGAAUCAAUGUAACAUUAAAGAGGCAUCUUCCGUUUUCUAGUCAGGAGGGAUUAUAAGAACUCAAGAAAAUUGCCAUAUGACUUGAGGAAAAGAUUUAUACUACCGCCACCAAUCAUGUGUUUGCCUAAUGCGAGGUUCGAUAAUUACGGUAUUCUUUAGACAUGAAUAUACACACGCAUUUAUGCAUGUACAAAUGUGUGUGUAGUGUGCCUACACUUCCUCACCGUUCAUUCUGUAUGCAAGGCUAAUUGGGAGUUCACAUCUUUUUGUUAAUUCUCUUGACAAGUGUUUUAUUGAGAGUGACCAGGUUCAAGUAUUGGGGAAGUGUGCAAAAAGAAAAUAGCAAAUCAAUACAUAAAUAAUUAAAUUAAAAGAGAGGAAACAGAACUAUAUCCUCACAGAAGAUGAAAUGAUAGAGCAUAUAUCCAUUUCCCCCCUUCUCUUGUAACAUGGAUUGCUCUGAGAGCUAAUGUUUUGUUAUUGAUAUCUGAUUUCGGUCUGAUUAUCUGCGUAAAAUAUCUCUGGAGAUUCUUUCGAUGGAAAUCAGGUCUCAAAACGCCAUGCCCACUGCCCCCAUGGACCCAUAAGGUAAUAAUGCAGCCAAGCAUUGAAUUUCUAAACAUCUUACCUUUUGUUUUUCUUUUCGCAUUGUUAUCGAACUCUUUUACAUUUUAUUGCUGCAUAUUGUUAUGUAUUUCGCCUUGCUGGAAAAAUCUCAUGAUCACCUCCACGAUGCUAAUUCUGUAAUGCAUGUGAAGUGUUUCUGAUAAGGUCCCAAUCAAGAGUGAUACACAAUUGCAGAAAUGCUAGGAUUCUCUUAGGGUGAGAAUUUACCACAAUAUUGUUUGGAUAAACAUAAUGCUAUUCUUUUUAUUCUUCUUCAUACAUAUAAAGAACUAAACCAUAACAACUUUCAGCAAAUCCAGCCGAAAUGGAAAUAACAGAUUACAAAACAGAAAUGCAAAUAAUGUGAAAGUGGCUGCUUUAUUUUCUCCCAUUGAAUCGGAAGCAUGAUUCCAAUUGACUUGCUUGUAACUCCCUUUAAUCACGAUAUCUUUUAAUCACGAUAUUUUAAAUUCUUCUUUAUGACACGUGGGGUCCUUCGUGGCAGCAGCUCUCCAAGCUGCGUAUCAUUACCCCCCACAUCAAGUGGAUGCUUGUCCCCAAGGUCCAAGCUUGGGUGGUUCGUUAGCAGUUCAGCCGUUGGUUCCCAGAUGGCAUCAUUUGUAGACAAAUGUUUCCACUUCACCAAACUCUCCUCAAUAAAUCUUGCCCCAUGUGGAAUCCAACGUGUGUCCAGAAUAGCUUCUGGUGUGACCACAAUGGUGCCUUCUUCAUCAAUAGGUGGAAGUUCCAUACUAGUGUCUGCUUUGUCACCCAACUUCCUUUUAAGCAACGACACAUGAAAAACUGAAUGUAAACGUGCCCCCUCCGGAAGCUUGAGUUUGUAGGCCACAUCACCGACUCGCUUUUCAAUUGGGAACGGACCAUAAAACUUGCAAGCAAGUUUUUGAUGAGCUCGUCGAAAAGCAGUCUGUUGGCGAUAAGGUUGUAAUUUGAGAUACACAAGGUCACCUUCUAUGAAUUCGACAUCCCUUCGCCCACGAUCAACCAACUGUUUCAUGCGAUUCCUAGCAUUCGCUAAAUUCUGCUUGAGAUUCCUAAGAAGUGUGUCCCGUACCUGAAGACUGUGAUCAACUUCAUUAACUGGUGAAGAGCCUGUAGCAUAAAGUGGAAAUGUAGGUGGUAAGCGUCCAUAAAGAGCUUGAAAAGGUGUCGUUCCUGUUGAUGAAUGGUAAGCUGUAUUAUACCACAGCUCUGCCCAAGGAAGAAAUUGGCUCAACUGUCGUGGUCUUUGGUGAACAAAACAGCGCAAAUAUUGUUCCACACAAUGAUUAACCACCUCUGAUUGACCAUCCGUUUGAGGAUGAUAUGCUGAGCUCAUCUUAAGCUGAGUACCAGACAUCUUAAAAAAUUCCUGCCAAAACUUACUAAUAAAGACUUUAUCUCUGUCGCUCAUAAUAGAACUAGGCAUGCCAUGUAGCUUCACCACACCAUCUACAAACUUUUCUGCCACCAUCUUUGUUGUGAAAGGAUGUGUUAAGGCCAAGAAGUGAGCAGAUUUGCUUAGAUGGUCCACUACCACUAAAAUGGUAUCGCGACCAUGUGAAGUAGGGAGACCUUCAAUAAAAUCUAUAGUAACGUCAUCCCAUACCUGACACGGAAUAGGAAGAGGUUGCAAGAGCCCAGCUGGUUUGAGAUUAUCAGCUUUAGUUUUCUAGCAUGUCACACAUGUGUGGACAUAUUCUUUGACAGAAUGAUACAUAGAUGGCCAAUAAAACUGCUGAGAUAGACGUUUGAAUGUACCCAAUAUACCAGAAUGGCCGCCCAUCUUUGUAUCAUGAAAUUCCUGUAGUAAUUGUUCUAUCACAGCUGUGUUAGGAGGCACCACAACACGUGUUUUGAAGAAAACUAACCCAUCUCGCCAGGUAUAAGGUUUUCCAGGACUAUUUUGAGCUUGCUGAAUAAUUUGUUCCAUAUAUGGGUGUCCAGUGGAGGCCUUUUUUAUGUCUUCCCAUAAAGUUACUUGUGGCACAGACAACGCAUUAAGAAUAGGGCUUCCAGACACUCUUGAUAAUGCAUCAGCAGCUGAGUUGUCGCGUCUUGGGCGAUAUAUGAUUUCAUAGUCAUAGCCAAGUAAUUUAGCCACCCAACGUUGUUGUUCUGGUGUCCCAAUUCUUUGCUCCAAUAGAUACUUUAGACUGUGCUGGUCCGUUUGAAUGAAGAACUUUUUGCCCAGUAGAUAUGGUCUCCAAGUGCGUAUUGCCUGAAGGAUGGCAAUCAUUUCUUUGGCAUAUGUUGACCAUGAAAGUUUGGCCACUCCGAGUUCUCGGCUGAGGAAAGCAAUGGGUUUACCUUGCUGUGUCAACACUGCACCAAUACCCUCUCCAGAAGCAUCAGUUUCAAUUGUAAAUGAUUCAUUGAAAUUUGGCAUAGCUAAAAUAGGUGUGGUUGUCAUAGCUUGUUUGAGCUGUAGGAAAGUUGCCUCCGCCUCUUGACUCCAUCUGAAUUGCCCUUUCUUCAAGAGAUUGGUUAAUGGCUUUGCCAGCAGACCAUAGUUGCGCACAAAUUUUCGAUAAUAACCUGUAAAGCCUAGAAAACCAGGUAAGUCUGAAAUAGUGCUUGGCCUUGGCCAAUUUACCAUAGCUGUAAUUUUGCUUGAAUUAACCUUGACCCCUUUAUUAGUCACAAUGUGACCGAGGUACUCGAGCUCUGACUGCCCAAAUGUAUAUUUGCCUUUACAAAAUAUGUAUGUUGCCGUAGAAUUUCAAAAACCUUUGUAACAUGUUCAAGAUGCAUGGUCCGGGCUAUAAAUCAAAAUAUCAUUAAAAAAAAAACUAAUAUGAAUUGACGGAGAUGAGGAUGAAAAAUAGAAUUCAUAAUAGCUUGGAAAGUGGAAGGAGCGUUGCAAAGACCAAAGGGCAUGACCAUAUAUUCGUAGUGGCCAUUAUGGGUACGGAACACAGUUUUGUGAGUGUCUUUUGGAUUUACUCGUACUUGAUGGUACCCUGCUCUUAAGUCUAAUUUUGUAAAGAAGGCAGCUCCAUGGAGCUCAUCAAGCAUGUCAUCAAUGGUAGGAAUAGGAAAUCGAUCCUUAAUGGUUACGCUAUUGAGAGCUCUAUAAUCAGUACAAAAACGCCAAGUGCCAUCUUUUUUUUUAACUAACAAAACAGGUGAAGAAAAGGGACUAGUACUUGGUUUUAUAAGUCCCAAUUUAAGCAUGUCUUGAACUUGUUUUUCAAUUUCAGUUUUUUGAAAAUAGGCAUACCUGUAGGGCCUCACAUUAAUAGGCUCAGUAUCUUCUUUAAGAGGAAUGCAAUGAUCAACUUCACGAGCUGGAGGUAACUGUGUGGGCUCAUAAAAAAUGUCCUCAAAGUUGUUGAUGAUUUCCUUCAUAUCUGUUUGCAUAUUGGGUCGUUCCAUCUUUUCUAUGGAUUGACAAUACACUGUAAAAGUGGAACAGCCAUGACGGACAUCUUUAGUAAUUGCUGAUAGUGAAGCAGGUUGUAUAGCUUGGCUAUUAGAACCAUUUAAUGUUUGAGCUUGAUUCUUCCACCAAAAGUCCAUUGUAAAUUUUUUCCAAUUACACACCACUGGUCCGAGUUGUUCAACCCAUUGUACACCAAGAACAAGAUCAAGGCCUGUGAUAGGUAUUGAAUAAAGGGUUAAUGAAAAUGGAAUGUUUUGGAGAAUAACCUGGACUUGUUCAAACCUUCCUUGGCACUUCAUUUGAUUGCCAUCUGCCACCCUUACAGUGAAGGGUCUCAUAGGAAUAACAGGUAAUUGAAGCUCCUCUGCUAUUUUAGAAUUGAUGAAAUUAUGGGUAGACCCACUGUCGAUGAGCACUGUUAGAGUGUGAUUCCCAACUCGUCCUUCAAUCCUCAUGGUUCGUGGUGUGGACCAACCCGUGAGUGCAUGGAGUGAAAUUUCUGGCUCAGUGUUCUCCUCAGCUAUGUCCUCUACUGGAAUGUCAUCAGUAACUUCUUCGCACAUGACUCUGACAGGUUCACUAAGGCUUUCUAGUAAUAACAGUUGCGGUCUUUGGCACUUAUGUCCAGCAGUGAAUUUGUCAUUGCAAUUGAAACAAAGCCCUUGUGCACGCCGUCUCUGCAUUUUAUCCCAUGUUAGUCUUUUUAUCGGAACUGGAAAACUGGAUUUUGGUGGGGGAAAAGUCAAUGGUGUGCGAGUUAAUUGUGUUGGCCGUGUAAAUUUCCCUUGCCGCAUUAUUUGUUCAUCCUUCAUUUUAUCUAAACUGAUAGCCUCUUUCAAAGUCCGUGGUUUGAACAUCCGAAUAGCAUCAGAAAUUUCUACUUUAAGUCCACCCAUGAAUGUUGUAACAACCCCGAUUUUUCUACAUUCUUUUUCGCGAUAUAUUGGAAAUUUUCAGGUAAAUUUUUUUUUUUGUGAUAUACAGGUUCCACCAAAAUUUCUACCAAAAUUUCGGCAGAGUCUCCCCUAUACUGGUAGGUCCCAGGUUAUCGACAUAUACCAUGUUUACACUUCUAAUAUCUCACAUCUCAUAACUCAAAAUCACGACCCAAUCAUCCUGGGUCUCAACCCAACUCAUUAUCAUCAACACAACACAUCUUAUUCAAUAACAUCAUAUAAUAUAGUUCAAAUGAAAGAUUCAAUUUCAACUAUAAAUAUGCAUGGUCAAAUAGGUACUAAGAGUUUAAACCAUUAGAGUAAAGACAUACAUUCAAAUUUACGGAUUAAUAUUACAUCUCAAGUUUUAUAAUUUACAUAGUCAAAAGCAAAAGAUAUCUAAACUAGCAUUACCCUUGACGCGACCCUGAUGGACCUGAAAAUAGAAAUUAACAUGUACACAUAAAUAUAAAAGAUAGUAACAAGCAAUAACAAUGGCAAACAAUAAUCUCUACGGAAUUUCUUUUGAUAUAUAAAAUUAGGCAUAAACCUCUUUUACAACAUAUAUUUUACAUUUAUUACCAAUAUCCAUCUAAUAUCCUAUCUCAUUUACCAAGAAUAAUUCCAUCUUGGAAAUCUCAACACAACUCAACGGUUUGCGAACACCAUCUCUUUAUAAAUCAAUUCUCACUUGAUACCAAGAUAUUCCUCUCUUGGUAUUAUUAGCUUAUCUCAUUCUUUUGGAAUAACUAAUUAAUAUUUUCCCUUUUCUGAAUCUGUUGCUAGAAGGUAAUCACUGAAACUAAUAAAUCUCAUUAGUAUCAUUAGUCUUCAAAUAUUGGGCUAGACUAAUCAAUUUAAGAAAUACUGGCACCGAUGAAACUUCAUCGAUACCAUUAGCAAUCCAAACUUGGAUGGCUAAUCAAUUCCAUUUGAUUCUUCCAUUCGUACCGAACCCCUUUUAUCUUUCUUAUUAACAUCAUAUGCAUUGUAACCACGGUUGCCAAGUAUCAUUUGCACACAAUCUUAGUUAUCGACACUACGGUCACUAAGCAUCCUUCACAAAACCUUGGUCACCUUCAUCACAGUGCCAAGUAUCAAUUUAUGCCCUUAGCCACCAUCAUUAUGGUGUUAAGUAUCAUUGUAAUGUAUCCUUAGCCACCGACACUAUGGUAACCAAUUAUCUAUCAAUUCACCUCCAAUCUCCAAGUCAUUGUGUCUACCCAAUAACCACAUUAAUUAAUUUACUCAAUAUGUUAGUCAUAUAUUAAUUAUUUUACUCAUAACAUUUAGAAUUUACUAUUUCUAACUUCAAUCAAUUAAUUCACAUAAUCUUUUCAAAACUUAACUAUCCGGCUAACUCAUCUCGAUUGCCAAUAAUUCUGGUAAUUUCAUAUAAUUACCCACACUUUUGGUUAACCUCCAUCGGUUACCAAUACAUCUGGUAAUUCCAUACGAAUUACUCAGCCUCCAGCUAACUUCUUUUGUUUGUCAAUUAAUCCUGUAAUUCCAUACGAAUUACCCCAUAUCCAGUUAACCUUCUUGUUAACCAAUAAACCCGGUAAUUCUCUUAAUUGUCCAAGAAAUCUGGCUAACCCAUCUUGGUUGCCAAGGUCAAUCCGGUAAUUCCAUACGAAUUACCCAUCAUCCAGCUAACCUCUCUUGUUAGCCAAUGAAUUCGGUAAUUCCAUACGAAUUACCCAUCAUCCAGCUAACCUCUUUUGUUAGCCAAUCAAUCCGGUAAUUCUAUACGAAUUACCCCAUAUCCAGUUAACCUUCUUGUUAACCAAUAAAGCCGGUAAUUCUCUUAAUUGUCCAAGAAAUCUGGCUAACCCAUCUUGGUUGCCAAGGUCAAUCCGGUAAUUCCAUACGUAUUACCCAGCAUCCGGCUAACCUCUUUUGUUAGCCAAUGAAUCCGGUAAUUCCAUACGAAUUACCCAUCAUCCAGCUAACCUCUUUUGUUAGCCAAUCAAUCCGGUAAUUCCAUACGAAUUACCCAAUAUCCCGGCUAACCUCUUUUGUUAGCCAAAUAAUUUCGGUAAUUUCUCUUAAAUUACCAAUAAUUCUCAUUUGUAAUAAUCACUCAACUUAUUCAUUUGUUUCAUUCUUUUAACAUCAAUUAAACACACAACACAAAUAUUUAAGAAAAACUAAUAAUUACAAAAUAAGGUGAUGAAUCACCUACCUAGAAUAGGUGCACGUGCUGCCACUCCAUGCAAUUGUCCAGUCCCCACAGCUUUCCCCUGUACCACCAGGGAUUCAAUUUUUAUCAACAAUACAACCAACAUCACAUCUUCAUUUAAUUCUCAUUCAACUAGUAUUCUCAAACUAAUCACAAGGAAUUUUCUUUAAGAUCUCAUACUCUUACUCAUUUUAAUGUUUAUAUUUAUUCUUAUAAUUUUGUUAUCAAAACCAUCACUCAACAGCAAUUCCAAGCAACGAUUAAAAAUUGUCUAAUUCCGAUCAAUUAAGCUUAACCAACCCAUAACACUAUCUAGUGUCUUAAUCAUAACUAAAGUUGUAAAACUCAGUUUUGGGCGUGAUUUAUAUCUCUAUGAAAGGCUAAACAUAGAGAUACAAAUUUUAUGAAGAAACCAACUCCAAAUUAUUUUGUUUUAAGGCUUAAAAUCAACAAUCACAAUAGCCCUUCUUUAUGGCUAAAAUUUUGGACAACGAGGAUUUUCAUUCCUUGGAAAUCCUUUUCAACUUCCAACUUAUUUUCAUGCAAAAUCAACAUCAUCCAAGGUCAUUUGGCAUCAUUAAAUCACAAGUUCAAACCAAUUCUAAAGCAAAACAUUCAAACAAUUUCCCUACCUCUACAAUAUAGCAAGAUUAGACCAAAAUAAGGAAACUCAUUCCUUUUGAGAUUUCUCCUAUUAUUAUUAUUAAUACAACAAAAUGAUGAACUAUUCAUUUUCUUUCGCUUUCUCCUCGUGCGAUUAAACAUAUACGGCAAACCUUAACAAUUAAUAUUCUCAGAUCAUUAUCACAACAAUAAUUUCACUCUACUAAUUGGGAUCCAUGACAACCUUCAUUAACUAACCAUUUGCUAAAAACACUUAUGGCUAGCUUUAAAUAUGUUUUAUUUUUUUCAAAUUUUUUUCAUUUCAAUUUCUUCAUGGUUCCACCCCAUUUAUAUCCACACAACCAACAAGUUAGCUUUCUAUUCAAUCAACAUGUUCUAUUCAAUCAACACGUUCAUAUAGCAAUAUUCUUUACUAUUCUUACACAACAAUCAUUCUUCCCCUCAUAUAAAGAAUACACAAUUAAUCUAUAAUAUUACUAAUAACAGGAACAUAUUUUAUCAUUACAUCUUCCAUAAAACCUACACCCACACAAUUCUAAUUUCAUCAAAACAUGUAUUUAAUCAAGCUUACUACAUUUUGCAAAAACUAGCAAUAGAUUCAAAAAGCAAUAAGUCAUCAACCUCUGAUUAUUGUUUCCCACCCAACGGUCAGACUACAUAUCAUAGCGUUGUGCAUAAUAUAUCUCAAAUUCAUAAUGAUCCAACGGUUAAAUCUCCCUAGAUCUGAAGAAAACCGAGCUUACCUGAAAAUGAACGAGCUACUGUUCAACAUGCACGCAACCUUGCCGGAGAAAUAUGUUCCGAUCUCCACUGUCCAGAAUGAAUUUAACAUCUACGCGCACCACAUAUCCAACAAUUAGCAUGAUCCAACGGUGGAAGAGAGAGAAAUCGGCCGGCGACCAAACUGCCCUGCAGGUGCAUUUCCUUUUUGUUUUCCAUGAAAUUCCAGAUGAUGAUUUCUGUCAAAUGGAUUGUGUUCCUUCCAAUCACUCCGGUCAGUUAGUAGAGGAGUGUAAUGAGAACAACACGUCCAAAACGCAGCUUGAUCCAACGGUUGAUUCCCGAGAUAUGACCACCGGAGCAUUAUUGGUUUUCUCCAAAAUUUGCAGCUCUCUCCCCUUAUCCGCUUUUCUCUAUUUUUUUUCUUUUUUUUCUUUCUUUUUUUCUUAACUGGUGGCCUCUUUGCAGAUUUAUAGGCACCUUUUUUUUUCAUAAUUACAAUUUUGUCCCUCUUUCAUGCUUUUAUGUAUUUUAUUUUAUUUUUCAUGUAAACUAUCUCGUUUAUUUCUGUUUAAAUCGCUAGUCUUUACCAAACUCUGAUUGGGAUGAGAUAUUUAACCAAGGUAGGAAAACAUAUUAAUAGGCUUCAUACAAAAUUUCAUCCCGAUCCGACGAUUGGAUUGAGAGCUCUGCUUCCUAAUGUAAAAUUGAUCAGUUCAUAACUUUUCGUAAACAAUCUAGAUUUUUUUUUUGUUCAAUCUUCACAAAAAAAAAAAACAUAUCAAUUAUCAUUCUAAACCUUUAAGGUCAUUUAAUUAUUUUGGAAUGUAUUCAUUUUAGGAUUUCCACCUUUAUUUAUUUAUCGGGCUUAUUAUCGUUUCAAAAUAACAUCACUGAUUUUUAAGCGGUGCUUGCACCUUCAGUCCUACCCUUUUCAUUGUACUAUCAUUUAUUAUAAUGUAUUCUUUAUUACCUCACUUAUUUCCUAAAAAUAUUUUGUCAUUUUUCUCAUUAUUUCAUCCAUCAAAACACGUUACCAGUUUCUCUAUCCUUAUGAAUUCUAAACCAAAAUUCAUUUUAUGAAGGUCAUCUCUUCUAUUAUAUAUCAUUAUUUAUCUAUUAUUUCUAAUCUUGGUUUCCAUCACUCAUUGAAAUAUUACCACUUUCAGUCUUAUGUUUACAUGAGGGUUUAUACAUCUACAUAUUUAAAUUAUAAAUUUCCAGGGUUUCACAAAUGUGCCCACCAGCGCCUUUUGAGUCCAACCAUGAACUCGAUUGCCCAACCUCUCAAAUUCCUUCUGAUAGUCCCUUAAGGAACCCACUUGUCUGACCUUUGAUAAUGCUUCAUCAAAAUCCUCAUAUUCUGUGGGCCCAAACCGUGCCCAAAGCUCUUCUUCAAAUAUCUCCCACGUGACAGUGCGCCCUUCUUCCUUGUGAGCUCGAUGCAACCAUUGCCACCAUUGGUUGGCUUCUCCUUCCAAAUGGAAUGAGGCCAAUGAUACUUUUUGAUUGUCCGCAGUCUCUUGAUAUUCAAAAAAUUGGUCCACCCAAUUGAACCAUUCGGUUGGAUCAUCCCCAGAAUAUCGUGGAAAGUCUAACUUGGCCAUUUUUUAUGAGAAGACGUGGCGUCCACACUCAUUAUCAGUUUUCUUCUUUCCCCCAUCAGUGUCAUCCCGAUAUGUGCGUGAGAAGCCAUCCCGGUCGUUGUUGUGGUAACUUGAAGACGCCUUGGAAGCGAUCAUGACCUCUGAAAGUUUGUUGAUGGUUUCCUCCAGGCUGUGCAAUCUAUUGAUCAUGUAAUCUUCCAGUCGCUGCAUGCCAUCUUGGACUCCACCAAGUCCUGUCUCCAAAAGCUCAAUUCGUUCUUUGUUUGUUGCCAUUGCGUAGGCUCUGAUACCAAUUGAUAAGGUCCCAGUCAAGAGUGAUACACAAUUGCAAAAAUGCUAGGAUUCUCUUAGGGUGAGAAUUUACCACAAUAUUGUUUGGAUAAAAAUAAUGCUAUUCUUUUUAUUCUUCUUCAUACAUAUAAAUAACUAAACCAUAACAACUUUCAGCAAAUCCCGCCGAAAUGGAAAUAACAGAUUACAAAACAGAAAUCCAAAUAAUGUGAAAGUGAUUUCUUUAUUUUCUCCCAUUGAAUCGGAAGCAUGAUUCCAAUUGACUUGCUUGUAACUCCCUUUAAUCACGAUAUCUUUUAAUCACGAUAUUUCAAAUUCUUUUUUAUGACACGUUGGGUCCUUCGUGGCAGCAGCUCUCCAAGCUGCGUAUCAGUUUCAUUCUUAACUUGUUAAGGAACAAGGACUGUGAUGCAUGGCUAUUUUAUAUUUUAUGAUUGAGAUGGUAGAUUUUAAAGAUUUUCCUGUUUAGGAGGUAAGACGUCACUUUCUUGCUUUUCUUCCGAGAGAAAGUAUUUGAUCCUUUCUUCAUAUAUAAUAAUGCUGCCAAGCAUUGAAUUUCUAAACAUCUUACCUUUUUGUUUUGUUUGUCGCAUUGUUAUCAAACUCUUUUGCAUUUAAUUGCAGUAUAUUGCUAUGUGUACGGCAUGCUUUAAUCAAAAAGUUGAGUACUCGAUGAAUGUUAGGCAAGAAAAUUACUGAUUAUUUUUGUUUUCUGCCUCCUCCUUUUCUUUCUCCCAACCUGAAAAUUGUCAUAUUAUUUUUGUUUUCAGCCGCCUCUUCUUCCCCCAACCCUGAAAAUUGUCUGAGGACACUUUUAUGCUUUGAAUCAAAUCCAUCCUAAUUCUUUCGCUCAUAACUUUAUGUGUGAACUGCCGAUGUUUGAUCAUUUGUCUUCCUUGUUCAGUGCCUUCUUUUUUUCUUUGACAUGGUUUCCUUUUUUCCUUUUAUCUUGAACAGCAUCCCAUAGUAUGCCCCCUCAAGUUCAGAAUCAUGGGCUAUUUCUCCCUAUCCUAUUGUCCACUGAUCAAUCUCAAGUACGCUAGCAGUUGUUAUCACAGAACAUGCAGAAUUGCAUGGCAUCUAAUGCAAUUCAAAGUUCUGCUGGUUUACUAGCGGCACUGCCUCUUGUCUCCGGUGUAACCCAGACUAUCCCCAACACUGUUGUCCAGAAUCCUAACAUGCAGAGUAUCCCCGGUGUUUCACAGAACUCAGUGGGGAAUUCAAUGAGACAAGGGAUUCCCUCCACUAUGUUUGCCAAUUCUCAUAAAGAAAUGCCAGGUAAUGCUCUUUUUGGUAGCUUUAUGUCUUCCACUUAUGGCAUUAGAAAUGCCACUGCUAUUGGAACUAUUGCAAUCACACAUGCAUUUGGCAUCACACGAUGCCCUUCAGUGCUCUGCACCAACUUUUCACCUCCCAUAAUGGUUCUAGUCAGUAAUGCUUUUUUAGGUAGCUUUAUGUGCUACUGCUGCCACUUAUGGCAUUAGUAAUGCCACUGCUAUUGAAACCAUUGCAAUCACACACACAUUUGUUACCCACAUCAUACCCUCCAGUGCAUUGCACCAGCUGUUCACCUCUCAUUCUGGAUUUAUAGGGUUUGUCCGUCUGUUUGAAUGAUUACAUAACGUUUAGAUGGAGUUCCUAGUACUCCUAGUUCAAAAAGACUUGUAUUCCUCUGUAGGAAAAUACUAAUAGUCCUAUCUAGAAUAGGAAAACCUAAUGAAGCUCGCUAUACUUUGGGAUAAUAAAAUACUAAAUGGAAAAUAAAAUGAGACUUGCAAUAUUCCAUAAUUUUCAGCAAGCGUGAAAAUUACAGAAAUACCCUUGUAUAUGGAAAACACACAAAAAUACAUGAAUUCUAAUCUUUGUUGCCCGCAUUGAAAUAUUUGUAGCAUCCCUAGAUUCUACAGCACAGACUGGACAUGCAAAAGGCGCUGAUUGACAAGAGUAGAUCUAUCAAAAGGUAAUUUCUGUGAUUUACUGUUCAUUAGAUGGAGUUCAUGUAUGCCAUAGUCUUAAAAAUAAAAGUGCACUAUUUCUGAAUGACUUACAGUUUAUCUUUUGUUAAGUGAAGAGUUAUUUGCACGAUUGCAAUCAACUUGUUGUGAAAAAUUUCCAGUAUUGAAUUUUAUAGAAAAUGAGGUUGAAAUUCUGAAUGUCUCAAGUCAUAACUGCAUAUUUGAUAAGGACAUUUUUCUUGUGCUUAAGUGAGUAUUAAAACGGGAAUAAGAAUGGUUGUUGUUAAGGAUCCAUGGGGUCAUGCAUAGGAUCUAAGGCUAAGAAGCGUCGCUAAAGUUGUGAAAUCCAUUGACUUGAGCUAGAACAGCAGAAAACAAUGAUGUGUAGUUUGCAGGGAGACAGUAACUGAACUUAACCAACCCCUGAAUCUUGUCUAAUGGUGUACUUACACAGUCCUUUGCAUCUUUCCAUUCCAUCAAUAUCGACAUCCUGUUGAGUUUCUAGCAUUAAUUCCACUCUAUUAUUUUUAUCUCAACUAAUUUAUGUUGUCCUCUGCCCUUUUUUUGUUAUUUUAUUUUUAUCAAUUCCCUUAAGUUUGUUUGUUUUACUUUCUUUCUGACUGGCACCUGAAGAGAUCAAGCAUAUGAGCGAUAAUGUUUUGCUGGUUAUUUGUACUUCCUAGAUCAAAGUUAUGAAGGAGACUUAUUUCCCUGAAAUAAAUGAAAUGUAUCAGAGAAUUGCUGCCAAGUUACAGCAGGUAAAUUGUCUCUGAAAUUUCUUCCGGAUUAUCUGUGCAUGCAUGAUUAUCUGCAAUUUCCCCAUGUUGAGUUUUGUAUUAGUUUGUUUUCCUCAUCAGCAUUGCCUGUCACUGUAUCAUCUGCACUAUUCACCUACCCCACCCCCAACCGCCCCCACAACCAUGCAUCGACACAGAAGAAGUGGAAUAGAAACAUUUUGUUUCACUAAUGUUUUGCUACAAAGGAUCAAUGCAAUUUUUAAUUCUCGUGUAUGUUAACUUUGCUUUCUAGCAUGACUCUCAUCCGCAACAACCGAAGUCGGAACAGCUUGAAAAGCUGGAGGUAUUCAAGGCCAUGUUGGAGCGCUUGAUAACAUUCUUACAGGUCUCUAAAAACAAAAUCACACCUAGUUUCAAGGAGAAAUUGGGUUCCAAUGAGAAGCAUAUUGUAAGUUUUCUAAACCCAGGCAGAUCAGGAAGCCAAUUCCUAAUCUACAGCGAGGACAACUUCCCCAGCCUCAUGUGCAACCUAUGCAGCAAUCCCAGUCUCCAGUUCCUCAAUUGCAGUCCCAUGAAAAUCAACUGAAUACCCAGUUGCAAUCAAUAAAUGUGCAAAAUUCUAUACCAACAAUGCAGCAGAACAAUAUGUCAAGCUUGCAGCAUGGUUCUCUUUCAUCUUUAUCUGGGUUUUCUAUGUCACAACCAAUCAUGAUGAUGUGGGACGAGAGAUUUUACGAGAAGAAAAGGGGGUAGAGAGAAUGAUAUUGUAGCAAAAAUAACUAAUCAAAUAGAAAGGCUGAGCUUAGAGACAGCACACUACAAAGGAAGCACCCAAUAGCUAGACAUACAAUCAUAACAAAUUCAUCUUCUAAAGUUGGAGAACUUGCGAAAACUAGCAACCAUAAAAUAGUAACAAGUAUCUAUGCAAUCUUCGAUGAAGUACAACCACCUACGUCGCCAAUAUGGAUUGAUGUAGAGAACUGCUGCAAUCGUCAUCACCACAACUGUGUAACAUACACUGAAACUGAUGUAGAAAAACUCCAUGUCUAUGAAACCAUCAUCUUCUUGUUCAUCAUGAGGCACUGGCUGGGACAACACUACUUCUUCACUACAAUUGUUUCGCAAUGGAGGUCCACACAAGAAAGGAUUUCCUUCGUAACAGCUUUCAUCGAAGGUCCCAAACUGAUAUUUUCUCUCGGGUGUCUUACCUGACAAGUUAUUGUGCUCCACACUAAAAACUUCUAGUGUGGUCAUUUCAGUAAGUUGUGGAGGGAUGUCACCAUUCAAGUUGUUGUAAGAAAGAUCCAAACUCUCAAUCCGCUUCAGGUUUGAGAAUGUUGCAGGGAUAGAUCCAGUGAGAUUGUUGUGUGAUAAGUUUAAUGACAGUAUCUCGCUUAAGUUUCCAAAUUCUGGUGGGAUUGCUCCUACAAAGUUGUUAUUGGAGAGAUCAAUACCAGACAUGUAGAUGAGAAUUUUCCCUUUGUAACCAUAAUACAUAUUUUUAGUUGUAAAUUCUAUCACUUCUUCUGUAAAGUUAGUCCAAUAACCCUUUAAUAAGGUGUAUAUGCUAUCCACUUGUGGUGGACCCAUUAUUUCAUAAUAAGCCUUUUCUAAGAACCCUGGUAGUAAAAGAACAUCGAGAUUCACUAAUGCUUUCUGGGAACUUUCUUUGAAAGUAAGAUUUUCCAAACAGGAGGGUAAUGGACCAGAAAGCUGGUUUUGUGAAACAUCCAAAAUGCUUAAUUGUUUUAAUAAGCAUAACUGAACAGGGAACUCACCAUCAAAGUGAUUAGCUCUCAGAAGAAGAACACUCAAUGAUGAAAGAUUGCCAGCCCAAUUUGGAAUUGAGCCGGUGAAGCUGUUAUCUCUAAGAUCCAUCGUAACCAGGGAAGAGCUAUUAUAAAAUCCAUAUUUUAAUGGACCGCUCAAUCUAUUUUUGGAUAGAUGCACAUGGGUUAUUUGUGGUGAAUUGAAACAAGAUGGAAUAUAUCCAAACAAAUUGUUCUCAGAAAGGUCCAAAUAUUCAAGCUGGUCAAACUUACAAAAAAAGUCUUUUGGGAUAGGACCCUUAAAAUGGUUUUUUGAAAAAUCAAUUGCUCUAAGGUUCGUCGAAUUGACGAACCACCUUGGAAGCAUGCCUGAAAAUUGAUUGUUACUCAAAUCCAAUACAAUCCACGUUUUCCACCCGUUUAAUGGAAAAUCUGAUAUUUGACCCCAAAAGUUGUUAUCACCUAGAUAGAGAUAUUCUGAGGUAGAAGAAUUGAACACGGAGGUUGGUAUUUGCCCACCCAAAUUGUUGUUUGACAGCUUGAGAAACAUUAAUGUUGUUAGUAGUUCUAGUUUUACCGUGGACAAUUGAUUGUUGGAUAAAUCUAAAACUCUCAAAGAGCUAAUAUUUCCUAAACAAGAAGGAAUACAACCCGUGAAUCCAUUCUUAGCCAUCCUUAAUCCCUUCAGAUUUGGAAAGAUCAAACAAAUAUCCUUUGGAAUUUGACCGCUCAUGUUGUUGUUGGAUAUAUCCAAUUCGGUCAUUUUCGGAUAUGGGUGAUCUUGCAACUGCAAAGUACCAACAAAGGAGUUCCCGCUCAGAUAUAGUUGCUCCAAUCGUGUAUUGUUCUUAAGCAACCACGAUGGAAACAUUCCGGUGAUGUUGUUGUGGGAGAGAUCAAGGAAUCUUAAGUGGUAUUGGUAAUAGAGGAAGUUGGGAAUUUCUAUAUUGAGUGCUUCCGUUGUUUUUGUCGAGCUAAAAAAGACUAGUUGGAACUUUGGAAUCAACUGAUCAAAUGCAGCAGGUUCUAUUACUAAUCUGUUGUUCUCAUUGCAGAAGAACUUGAGGCUUGAGUGGUUCAUAAAAGGUUUCAUUGAAGUGGGAACUUCAAAGAGGUUAUUUGAUAGUGAGAGGAAUUCAAGGGAUAUGAGGUUGGUAAGGGGACCGAAGGCAAUAUUUCCAGUAAAUUGGUUUUCAGAAACAUCUAAUAGUUGUAGAGAAGACAAGUUCCCCAAACAAUAUGGGAGUGAACCUCCUAAAUCAUUUUCAGAGAGAUCUAAUUGCUUCAGAUUCUUCAUUUCACACCAACCUGUACAAUUUAUGGAUAUAAAGUCGUUAAAGAUGAAGGCUAAGUCAAACAUGAUAAAAUACUAUCAUUAAAUUGAUCAUUGCAUAGAUAUAAAGUCCUUUUUUAUAUAUAUAUAUAUAUAAUGUAAUGAAUAUUAUUGAUUAUUCAACAUAGUUUUAAAUAAUAUAAUAUUUUUUAAAUUUAUAAUAUUAUAAAUUAUAAAAUUAUUGAUACUUGCAAUGAAGACCAAGUCUCAAAAUACCAUAUCCACUGGCAGUGGUAAUGCAGCGAAGCAUUGAAUUUCUAAACAUCCUUACCUUUUGUUUUAUAUUGCUAUGUAUAUACAAUGCUUUAAUCAAAACCUAUAAUGCAGGAAUAUCUGCAGAUGGCCAUUCCCAAAGGGAAAACUAAUCUUCCCUAGAAUAUUACAAAGUGCCAUUUCUACAGUGAGACACUGAAUAGUGAAAUUAGUGUUUCGUUUUUGUUGUUUUGUUGCUGAUAACUAGAUCUGUUAAAUCUUUUCCCUGUACUUUUACAUUAUGCAGUAAACUGGUCCCUUCAUUAGUUUUUCGUUAGUCAAAUAUUGUAGAGCUGUCAGCAAUAUUUCCUCUGUUUGUUCCACUAACUUGACGGUAAAAUGUGAUUAAAGAAUCAAUUAAUUAUUUAAAAAACGUCGAGGGAUUAAUUUGUUUGUUUCACAAAAAACAGACACUGGUUAUAUAAAAUUAUACUCAAAUUUUUUUCAUCAUAUGCGUGUGUUUACUUGUAAAUAUUUUGGAAGGAACUAGUUUAUGUUUUGCGCAACAUAAAAAAAAUCAUCUAGGCUUAAGAAACUAGCUCGAUCUAGUGGAUUAAUUUUUAAUUUUUUUUAUUUGACUUUUUAUCUAUAUCAAGUUUAACAUGAAAGUUAAUGUCUUUGUUUAAUUCGCAUGAUAACAAUUCUAUGUCUAAGAUCAUUUGGUUGGCAUACAUAUGUAAACCUAGGUGUUGUUAGUUCGAGGGAAGGAAGACACAAUAAAAAAUAAACAAACAUGGAUGAUAUGUCAUUUAUGUUUUACUUUUUUUAAUUAAAAAAACAGGCUUAAUAAAAAAUAUCAAGCGAGGUCAGAUGCGCGAGCCUUGUUUUAUAAUUUUUUAUUCAAAUUUUAAUAAUUGUUUUCAAUUAUUAUGCAUAUGACAUAAAAAUCUGUUCAUGAAAAUUAAAUUCAAAUCACUUUUUUAAUCUUAGAAUUUUUAGAUAUAUUUUUAGCAUAAUUUUAUCAUAUUUAUGAUUUUUUUUAACUUUCAAUCACAUGAAUAUAUUAUUUUGAUACAUUUUUAAUUUGUUGUGACAAUUAUAGAAUAUUCUUUUAAUAGAAACAAUGAUUCUAGUUAAGAAAAAAAUCUUGCAUUCAUCGAGAUAAACAAGAAAUAUGUUAAUAAGAAAAUUUAUCUUGAUGGAGAAAAAUUCAAAACGACUAAAUUUUCAAGUUUAAUAACAAUGCCAAGGAGUUUCCUUAGACUUGGAUAUUUUGUUCUACGUUUAAAGUUUUUUUUAUCUCCAUAACAUAGCAUUAGCAUACAAACUUGUAUAUUUUUAAGACAGCGUUUGGUUACUAUCCGGGACAAUAAAGACAAAGACAGAGGAGACAAGACAUAAAAGAAGAUGGAGAUAGAAUUGUGUUCAGUAGUGAUGUACAAGAUAAAAUAAUUGUCUUUGUAUCAUAUUUAGUUAUGUUGAAUAAGAAAGAAUAAAAUACAUAAAAAACUAUUUUACCUUUAAUAUGUAUUGUUGUCAAACUUCCAUAUUUAAAAAAUAAUUAUUUUUAUUUUUUUACUUUAGUUUAUAUUGAAUGUUGAAAUUAUUAAUAUUAUAAUAACCCUAAUUAUAAAACCAGGACUGAUUUGACAGGUUGGUUUAAGGCGUAGACUUGCCCGAGUUUUAGAAAAAUAGAUUAAUGAUUAACUAGACCUGACCUGGUAAAAAAUAUGAGUCAGGUUAAGAUAAAACACAAGUAAAAAACCCAUUGACUUUUUUGAAAAAGAAAAUUGGUCAAAACAAGGUUUCUUUGACUAUUUUUUUUAAAAAAAAAUUGGGUCAAUCAGGUUGACCUUCCCAACCCAUGACCUACACCUUUCCUUUGGUCAACUCCUAAGUUGAGUUUUAAAACUAUGAUAUUAAUAAUUUUUAUCCAUACUCAGGUCAACCUGUGUUGACCCUCUCGAUCCAUGACCUAGGCCUUACUUCUGUCGACUCCCGAGUCGGGUUUUAAAAUAUGAUAAUAACUAUUUUUAUCCUUACAUUAAUCCGGGUCGACUCUCUUGAUUCGUGACCCGAGUCUUACCCCAAAUUGACUAUCGAAUCAAAUUUUAAAACUAUGAUUAUAACCACCUUUAUUUUAUGUUGACCCGGGUCAAUCCGGGUUGACCCAUAUAACACGUGACUCAAGCCUUAUCCCGAGUCGAUCCCCGAUUUGGGUUUUAAAACUAUAAUAAUAACUAUUUUUAUCAUUACAUUUACCUAGGUCAAUAAUCAACCUCACUUGUGACCCCAAAAUUGCCCGGGUCGACCCUUAAAUCGAGUUUCAAAAUAUGAUAAUAACUAUUUUUAUUUUUAUACUAAUACAGGUCAACUCAACUCGUGACUCGGGCCUCAACCAGUGACCCAGAAUUUACCCCGGAUCGACCUCAAAGUUGGAUUUUAAAACUAUGAAAAUAAUUAUUUUUACCUUUAUAUGUCUUAAUUAGACAAUUUAGAAUUGAGAGUUUUUUAUAAGGAUAUUUUAGAAAUAAAAAAUAAUAAAUAUUGUCUCUAUAAACAUGUCCCUUCUAUACCUCAUAUUUUGAAAAUAUAAAAAUUCACUCUAAAAUUAUUCUAGAGACAAAUUUAUUUUUAUGUAUUUGUCUUUAUCUCUUUAACCAUAUAUAUUUAUAUCUUUAUUGUCUUCAUCCUUUUUAUCACACGACAAUGACCAAACAUUACCUAAAGGAUCUACAACUACUGAUGACAAACUUGGCUUUAUUUCAUCUUUGAUUUCUUCUCAAUGAUAUCUCACCUAUAUGUGUGGAGGCACUAGAUCGUUGAUUGAAAGGUUGACUUUGAAAAAAUAUAUUCAUAAAGUAAUGUUUGAAUCUUGGUGUUUUUUAUUGGCUCAAAAAAAUUACCAACCCACCAAAACCAACAUGUAUGAAACAUUUAGAUUUAAUAUUAUAUGUAUAAUUUAUUAUCAUAAUUGAUAUGCUAUUCAACUCACUAACUUAGUAGGAUGACCUAUAAUACCUGUUGAUCUAGGAUUUUAGCCGAAUCAAGCUUUAAGCCAGAUAUAAUAACUAUGAUUUUAUAAAAUUACUAUGAACUUCCCUUUUAUGUCUUCUUAUUUACUCAUUUGAUUUUAUGAAGUUAAGAUGUUUGCAUUUAUAUCAUGAUUAAACUCUAGGAUAACAUUUAGUUAUUACUUCAGGAUAACAAAAAUAAAGAUAGUAAAGACAAAAUUAUGUUUGGUUGAAAAGACAUAGAUAUAAAAAUAAUUUUUUUCAUGGGAUAAUUUUAGAGUGAAUUUAUGUACUUUCAAAAUAGAAAGUACAAAUAAGAUAUAUCUUCAUAAACAAUAUUUUUUAUUUUUAUUCCUAAAAUAUCAUUGAAAAAACUUUCAAUUCCAAAAUUGUCUAAUUAAAACAUGUAAGAACAAAAAUAGUUAUUAUCACAGUUGUAAAAUCUAACUCGAGGGUCGACCUGGGACAAGGCUUGGGUCAUUGUUUGGGUUGACCAUUGACCCGAGUCAACAAAAAAAUAAAAAUAGUUAUUAUUAUAAUUUUAAAACCUAACUUGGAGGUCGACUCAGGGCAAGACCCGGGUCAUAGGUCAGGAGGGUCAACUCUGGUUGAACUGAGUUAAUGUAAGGAUAAAAGUGGUUAUUGCAAUAGUUUUAAAACUUGACUCAGAGAUCGACCUGAUGUAAGCUCAGGUCUUGGGCUAGGAGGGUUAAUGCAUGGAUAAAAAUAAUUAUUAUCAUGAGUCGAUUUGAGACAAAGCCUAGGUUAUGGGUUGGGAGGGUCAACCCGAGUUGACCCAAUUUUUUUUUUUAAAAGAAUCAACACAACUUUGUUUUGACCAUUUUUUUUUAAAAAAAAAUAGCUGGUUUUGCCCUAUGUUUUAUCCCGAGUCGACCUGUGUUUUAUCCCGAAUCAACUCGGUUUUUUAAUUCACCUAUCUAUUCUUAAACUUAGAUUAAUACAGGCUUAGAGACGACUAGGUCCCGAAUAGAUUCACUAGGUCAGUCUAGGUUUUAUAACUAGGAUUAUUAUAAUAUUAUUAAAAUUAAACUAAAGUAAAAAAAAAUCUAAUUAUUUGUAUAAAUAUGUAAGUUUAACAAUAAUGCAUAUUAAAGGUAAAAUAAUUUUUUUAUUUUUUAUUUUUUUUAUUUAUCAUUAUCAAAUAAGAUAUAGAGACAGUUACUACCAAACACAAUUUUAUUUUCAUCUCCUUUUAUAUCUUGUUUUCAUGGUCUUCUUCCUUUUUAUUCAGGACAGUAACCAAAUAUUACCUAGUUAUAACAUAUAGAAACAUAUAAGUUGUCAAGUUCAAGCCUUUCUCUUAUCGAUUUAAAUAAAUUGAAACACAAUUGCAAGAAGAUUCGAGUGUGUUUGGUAUUGUGAUAGCUUUUGUGGUUGUGAUUUGAAAAAAAAUUGUUUUAUAAAAAAUACUUUUGGUUGAGGUUGGUUUGGUAUUUAUAUAUAUUUGGUUCAAACUGUGGUUGAAAUUGAGGUUGAACAAAAAGUAGUUUAAUGUGUUUGGUUAAGAAUGCUUUUCAAAUUGAGGUUAUAAAAUAAUUAAAAAAAGAUAUUAAUAUUAAUGGUUUUUAAUUUAAAUAUUGUAGAUUUAACUACUGUUAUUACAUCAUGAAAUAAAUAAUACUUUAUAUAAAAUAUUUUUAUUGUUCCAUUAAACUAUCUACAAUUCCAUCACGUACGAAAUCCAUCCGACAAGGACUACAGUUUCCUUGGUUUUUUAAGUGCGCAACAACAUCAUGUAAAAUAUCAUCAAGAACAAAAUUAGGAUUGCGAUCAAAUUCUGUAAAUGUUACGUCAUUAAGCGAUCUCCUUCUAAUUUAUGUAGUGUCAUUGAAUAAUGUUAAACAUUAGUUUUUUUGAAUAAAAUACAAUUAAAAAUAAAAAAAUUGAAUUUUAUUUUAUUUUACUGGGUCGGACCCGGUUCAAUGCAUUUAGCUUUGAACCGGACCCAAUUCGGCCGGAAUAAUAAAACAUUCUCCACUGUUCACGUGAACAGUGGAGAGUGAAGUAAUUCACUCUCACUAGGUGGAGACAACAGAAGAAAAGAAAAGGCAGCUUUGAGCUGCUUUCAAUGACACUGCAUUUUAAACAUAAAUUAUAAUGGAUCCUGUAAACAGUAAAUAAUAUUUUAUUAAUUAUCACAUGAUUGAUUUCUGUGGUUUGUUACAAAAACAGAAGCAACCACAGAAAUAAUCAGGUUCAAAGAAGAAAAGACAUAUGAUUAAAGUGCCACGCAACCUUUUGACAUUAUCAGUAUUUUGAUGUAUUUCCAUUAAUUUAUAAUAUACAAGUAUAUUUCCACGUUUCUUUUAUUUGGAUAGAACAUCUUUCCAAUAGAAUUUGUUUUUAUUAGAAUUCCAUAUUCAUGAUAUUUUUUUAAUAAUAAAAAUAGCAUUGGAUGAGUUUGUAUGUCAAUUGAAACUAAAAAUGUGUUAGAUACGAUCGAUGGAUUGAACAUGAUAAUAUAAAUAUCAAAUAAUGUUUAAUUAGAUUAAAUUGAACUAGAGAAUAUAUGUUUUUAUUCUAUGUUUGGUGCACACAAAAUAAGAUCAAAUAAUUUUAUUUUUAUCAUUGAGAUUUUUUCAAUCAUUUAUUUUAGUCUUUGCAUUUUAUUUUUAUGAUAUUUUAGUCCUUACUAGAAUUUCUUUAUCAUCUAGAACAAUCUAGUUCUUAAAUCAAAAAGGUUUUUGCAAUUAAACUCUUACAUGUAAAUAUUUAUUUUAAUAAAAUUGGUCAAAUUUUGGUUUUCCAAAUUAAAAAAUAAAUAAGUGAUAAAUAAAUAAUAGAUAAUAUAAAAAUUAAGAAAAAAUAAUUUUGUACAAAUUUUUUGUCCUGAGGAAAACUUUGGACAAGACAAUGACAAUGAUCAAUCCUUGUCAUGUCCAAAGUGUAUAUCAAACAUUUCAUAGCUUGCCAUGUGCAACAAAUAUAUCACAACUUGUUUUUAUUGUAUUCUAUUAUGAUCUCUUUUGUGUUUUAUAUUAUUUAAUAUAUUAAAAUAAAUUUAAUAAAUUAUACUGAAGCAAGAUCUAAUAUUAGAAAGUUAACGGAAAUAAUAAAUGUACCUUUGCCCGUCCCUUCAACAAAAUGCUGAGCUGUAUACUAAUUCUCAGAGGCAGUGAUAACUAGUUGUUCUAACUAAUCCCUAUACUUUUAAAUAUGUUUACAAUUCAGUCCCUUCAUUAAUUUUUCGUUAGUAAAAUGUUGAGCUGUCAGCAAUAUUUCCUUAGUUUGUGCCGCUAACUUGACGGUAAAAUGUGAUUAAAGGAUCAAUUAAUUAUUUAAAUCAACUUGAGGGAUUAAUCUGCAUUUGCUUAACAAAACGACAAACACUAGUUAACUCAAAUUUAAGGUAUGUUUGUUUUUAUAUUUCAAAAACGUUUUGAAAAAAUUUGAAAAUUUUUUAUUUUUUUCUUUGCUUCAAAUUAAUAUUUUUUGGUAUUUUUAGAUCAUUUUGAUAUGCUAAUAUUAAAAAUGAUUUUUUUCAAAAAACAUAUUUUAAUAUAUUUCUGAGUGAAAAACAUUUUAAAAAAUAUCUGUAACCACACUCUCAAACAAUCACAUUCCCAUACAGGUUAAUCAUCAUAUGCGUGCAUGCGUGCGUGCAAGUGGGGUUCAAUCCGGGUGCCCUAGCAUUAUAUUAUAAUACUUAUAUAUAUAAGAAACCCUGUAUGGAUUCGUACAACACUGGAAUGCAAUGAUUGAAUGAAAUAUUACAUGGACAUUGGACCUGCUGUGUAAACAUGUUUAGGAUGGAUGCGACGACAUUUCAGAGUUUUUGCUUUCAACUUGGAAACCAAUGUCAUAACCCAAUUCUGGGUUAUUCCCCAAAAAUCAUUUUUUUUUCAAAAUAAAAAUCAAAAUAAUAAUAAUAAAAGCUGGAAACGUGGAGAAGGCAAACCGGGGAAUCAAGUUGUAAUUUUGGAGGAAAUUCAAGGCCUAAUUGUACCCCAUUAUGCCAAAAAAUGGAGGAAAAAAAUGCAAAUUCAAGGUCAAAUUAAAUGACUAUUGGAUGAAUUUGCAUAAAAAUUAAGUCCAAGAACAUAAUUAAAUUUUUAAUAGGCCAAUUUGAUUUAAUCAUGGGCCAAAUUGAAUUUUAAUUAUGUUUAAGAAUUAAUUUGGGUCCAAUUGAAGGAUUUAGUUAAGUGCAAGGACUUAAUUAUACUUUAAAUGGGUAAAAUUAAUUUUAUUUGGGGCUUAAUUGGUGAAAAAUUAAGUUUGGGAGCCUAAUUUGGGCUUAAUUGAGAAGAUUGGAAUUUUAAGAGAUCAAAUUUAAUUUUUUCCAAGUUAAUUGCUUGAAAUCAGGGGCCAAAUUGCAAGAAAAUUGAAGUUUUGGGGUCAAUUAGGGGUUAAAUUGACAAAAUUUGCAGCCAAGGACCAAUAUGCAAAAAGUGCCAAACUAUAGGGCCUAUUGGCAAAAUCCAGGGUGAAAUUGAAGAAAUUGAAAGUUUAAUGGUUGAUUAGGGGUUAAAUUGCAUAAAUCCAAGACUAAAGACUUAUAUGCAAAAGGCGCGUAAAUUUGGGGUUCCAAUUGAAGUUCAGCAAGGGCGUAAUUGCAUUAAAUCAAAAGUUUAUGGUCAAUUAGGAGUUCAAUUAAAACAAAUUGAAAUCUGGAGGACUAAAUUAAAACUUAGUUAAAAUCCCUAAUUCAAACCUAAAACAACAUUGUUUUGAAUAAUAAUAAUAAAAAAAGAAUCAGACAACACGUCGUCUGGUCAUUAUUUAUUGUCUUCUUCUUUUACCCGGUUAAUCAUCAUAUGCGUGCGUGCAAGUCAGGGUUAUUGUGUUGUCUAUUCCGUGUGUAAUGUGGGGUUCAAUCCAUGUGAAUCGCACGACUUGUCCAUAUCUUUCUUAUUGAUUACAAAUAGCAUUGAGAAUUAAAGAAUAUUAUCUUAAUAAGUUCCAAUUUAUUCUACAAAAACUAUAUAUAAAGAUGUGACAAAAUCUUAAGUUCCAUUUUAUUCUACAAAAACUAUAAAGAUGUGACAAAAAGAUGCAGCUUACGGAUCAAGCCUGGUUCAGGUUUUGAUCCUGUUAAAAAUCUAUUUUGUUGAAUUGUUCAUCAACUCGUGAAUUAUUGGGUUAAAUAGAUUAAUUUUUUAAACAAAACAAUGCCAUUUUUUUUAUAUAUAAAAAAUUUGGUUCUGGCGUAUAAAUAUAAUAUUAGAAACUUAAACCUUAUUGAUUAGCAAAAACUCAAAGGGAAAUUUUGAAAUAGAUUUUUGUAAAAUCAAAUAUGAACCAAGUACUAGAAAGUUUGUUUGAAAUAACAAUUACUUUAUAGAAAGCAAAUAUAAAUAUAUUUAUUAAAUUUAAUAAAGUUUAAAAUCAGCAAGUUAAGCUACGAAACCCUGAUCAAUUUAAUAUAAUGCCGUUCAAUACAAAAAAAAAAUACAUCUUAAAAAAAAUUUAAGUUAAAUCAUGUUUCUACCUAUUAUUUAGGUUGUCUUCAGACUUAUAAAGUCGACUAGGUUAUAUUAGAAAAACUUUUAUAUAAUUAAAUUUAAAACUCGAGUUAGGAAAUUUUAAUAUUGAUUUGUUGAAUCGGAUUUAAUAACAAUACCAAAAAUCUAAAAUUUACUUUUUUAAUCAAUUUUUUUUAAUUCAACUCGUAUCAUAACACAGUAUAGUAAAAUAAAUAGAUAUAAAAUAUUUUGAUGGAUCCUCGGGAUAAGAGAUUGUUUUAGGACAUUUUGCUAAUUUCUUUUGUUAUCUAAUCAACAAGCUCAUAGUGAAUAAGUAUAUAAAUAUAUACAAUUAAAUUAAAUAACAUAUAAGAGAAAAAUGGUCGAAAGGUAAAGCUAAAGUGAUGCGACGUUGAGCCACUAGUCGAUAGUUGUAACGUCAGUUUGUUGGUUCGUCGUUCGUUUCUCGGAUUUAUUGAUCUUUAGAUUGUCUGUUUCUAGAAAAGAAAGAAAGAAAUAUUUAUAUUAUCAAUGCAAUGCAAUGCAAUGACUAAUAAGAGCUUGAAAUUAAGAGGUUUGCUUUCUCUAUAGUUUCAGGUUCGAACCCUGUGGUUGCUCAUAUGAUGGCCACUGAAGAUUUACAUGGUCGUUAACUUUAGGGCCCGUGGAAUUAGUCGAGGUGCGCAAAUUAUUAUCAUUUUAUCAAUGUAUACUACAUCUUUUUCUCAAUUGUUUGAGUUUGAAAUUAUAUCUGUGAACCCAUUAAUUUAUCUAGAAAAAAAAAAUUUAGGUAAUUGGAUCAAUCCUUGAUAUCAUAUAGAGAUAAAUUAAUUGUUUUGAUUAAAACAAUAUCAUUUUAUUUAAAAAUAAAUUUAUAAUAUUAAUUGAAUCACUAAAAACACAACUAGACCAAUCAUGUUUUAAAUAUUUUUAAAUAUUUUUAUAUUUAAUUUGAAAUUGAUUUAAAUUAAACUUUAAAUUAUGGGUUUUUCAAACUAACAUGUGUUGGGUUACGUCGAUUGAGUUAGGUAUAACAUAUCUAGAAGAAUUUAUUAAAUUUCUCUAUAAUUAGUCAAUCGAUGAGGGAAUUUAGUUUUAAUUGAUGGAGAAAUUAAUUUAAAGAUACCAUGCAAGAUAUAAAAAAAAACAUUUAAAGAUAUCAAUUAUUGUUUUCCGUUUAAUUAUAAAUAGAAUGAAGAGAGCGAUGCUCGCUGCACUUUUAUAAGCGACUAAAGUAGUUUCCAUCUUAGAUACAGUUAGAAUCUCCCAUAUCUGUCAAAAUGCCAAAAAAGCUAUUCGCAAAGAAACUCUCAAAAACUGACAUUAAUUAAAUAUAGAAUGGCAGUUCCAAUGGAAAGCCUCUACGCUUUCCAAAUCCCAGAAGGAGAACACUCUAAAGAAUUUGGUGUCACUGGCAUCCAUGGCAAGAGGUGGAGGUUCCGAUGUUGUACAAGAAAAACUGAGUUGAUCACCUUAAACCAGUCAUGUUUUCAGUUUGGAUUGAGUUCGCCAAAAAAAAGGGUUCUCAAAAAAGGUGAUGAAGUCACCUUCUCUGUGCUGGACAUGAAGGGAGCUGAGGAUCUGGAAUUGGGAAUUCAAGCUCGGAAAAGAAUCAAGCUAUUCGGCCAAGAUUUUUGGAGUAAUCCUUUGUGAAGAAGAAGAAGAAGAAGAAGAAGAAGCUACUCCUCGCAUAAGUAUAGAUUUUGUGCACCGAAGAUUGUGUCUGUGAGUAAUAGAGCUGGUUGCCUAUGUACAAUUAGUAUGCUUUGGCAGGAACUUCGUGACUGGUCCUUGGAUAGCUGAGAAAGCCAAGUCUAUGGCAACUUCAGGGGAAUCCAGGAGCAGGAAAAAAAUCAAGGUGAAAGGAUAUGAAUUUGCUAGUGCAACUGCUGCAAAGGAUCUAGGAGACAUAAAUUUGCGAACUAGAGAAGAGUUAAUUUUGAGCUCUGCAUUCUUCUUGCAUGUUCAUCUGUUUCCCGUUGUGGUUGAUCUUAGCAGUUCUCAGUAUAGUAAUUUGCAUUUCCUUCUAGAUCAGAUGAUUAAUGGAUUAUCAGGCAUGGACUGCGAUGUAGUCGGUGCUAGGGAAUCAACAAAGUUAACUCAUUGUAUUUUCAUAAAUUAAAGGGAUUUCUCUUCUUUUCUUUGUCAAUUACAGUGCAUGAUGUAUAAAAGUUUUCUUACUCAGAGUAAAUGCUAUUGUAAUGUUUUCACAGAGACUCCUCUAUUUUGCAACUAAUUCACUUAUAUAUCUUGGAAACAGAAAGGCAAUCAACGAAGAGUAAGGCAUCUUCUGAAGAAACAAAGAAAUUUAAUGCCCUAAACUAAGCAGCAGGUAGAAGGCAAAAACUGAGCUCAAAUUUUCAGUAAGGGACAAACGAAAAAAACCAAAAAGAAAGCAGAGAAAAAUACAGACUCAAAUUCACAACACCCAUUUUCUUUCCAUUGGAACACUUUAAAUAGUUUAUUAAAUUUAUAAUGAUCUGAUUUCUACGCAUAUUACAAAAUCAACUUCAUGAUCAAUUCUCUAUAAUUUCGGCAUUACUAAAAACAUCCAAACUAAUAAACUAUUAGUUAUUUUAGCCAUUUUAAUAAACAUUUUAGUUAUGAAUUCACCAAACAUUUUGAACAAUUCAUAUGGAUGAAUUAACAUGUUAAUUUUAGAUUUUUUAACUUAUUAAUUCCUUCAUGAAUUACUUCUAAAGCAUGUUAUAUAUAUCUAAGCACUUUUAUAUAAUAUAAUUCUAUCAAAUUCACUUUUACCCAAUGUAUAAUAUAAACAUCCAUAAAAAAUAACUUAUAUUGUCAAUGCAAUGAAAUGACUAAAUAACAUUUAAUUAUUAUAAUAGCUUUGUCCUCAUACCUAAGGAAGUAUACUACGUCUUUUUCUCGAUUCUUUGAGUUUGAAAUUAUAUCUUUGAACCCAUUAAUUUAUCUAAAAAAAAAUUUAGGUAAUUGGAUCAAUCCUUGAGGUCAUCAUAUCAUAGGGAUAUAAAUCAAUUAUUUUUAUUAAAAAUAAUUUUUUUUUUAAUAUUUUCAUAUUUAACUUGAAAUCGAUUCAAAUUAAAUUUUAAAUUACAGGUUUUUCAAAUUAACAUGUGUUGGGUUAGGUCUAAUAUAUCUAGAAGAAUUUAUUAAAUUUCUCUAUAAUUAGUCAAUCGAUGAGGGAAUUUAGUUUUAACUAGUUACAUGACCCGCGCGAUGCCACGGGUCAAUUUUGUUUUGCAUAAAAAAUAUCAAAAAAAGCUAAGAUCUAAAAGUGUUAGGUCUUUCUAUAAAGUUAUACCCAAAAGUCUUGGGUUUGGCUACAACGCCUGAUCCAAAAAUAAUAUUUAUAAUAUUAAUAAUAACAUUAAACUUGCAUAUAUCCACGAAUAUGUACAAUAUUUGAAACCUAUAAUGCAAGAAUAGCUGCAGAUGUACAAUAUUUUUAAUUUAAAGAAUCAAUUAAUUAUUUAAAAAACUUGAGGGAUUAAUUUGUUUGUUUUACUCAAAUUUUUAUUGUUUACUUGUAAAUAUUUUGAAAGGCACAACAUGAAAAAAUCAUAUAUGCUUAAGCAACUAUUUGGCAUCUUAAACUUAAUCUCGUAAAUUAAUCUUAAAUCCUUUUUAUUUAACUCUUUCCCAGUAUCAAGUUUAAAAUUAAUCAACAUAAAAGUUGUUUUAAUAUAACUUAGUUAAUUUAAUGGGUUCAAAAUUAAUACAUAUGACAUGAGAUCUACCAGCCAUCAUCUGGCCGGAAACGGGCCGCGAUCGUCGACUGCCACCGAAGCUUCAAGUCGUCGAUUCUCGCUCAUCAGCCAUCAACGGCCGUCAAGACCACCACCAUAAGAAUCCUCGACAUCAGAUCUACCAGGAUCGACCAUCGGUUGGCCAGAAAUCGCGCCGGAAAAUCUCCCCGCCGCCAACAGUAGCCGCGCGUGUGCCACACGCGCCGCCAGUGGCAUUUUUGUAAAUUUUGGAGAAACCCGAGGGUAUUUCAGUCUUUUACCUAUACAGUGGCACUCAGGUAAUUUUUCGGGGUUUCUACUGGUAUUUUUGAUAUUUUUUAUAUAUAAAUGCUUGUAAAUUUUCUUGCAUGUUGUAAAAAAUACAAAAACCAAAGUCGACACGUCUCUUUUUUUAAAAGGACCGAUGUCAAAAAUGUAAAUACCAAAUAUGGCAUAUGUCCAUUAUUUUUUUUUGGUGACCCAGACGUAAUUCUCCUUUUUAGGGUUGAAACGUCAUAUUUUAGACAAGUCUCCUAAUUUUUAGGGACUGAUGUCAUUUUUAACGUGUCUCCUAUUUUUAGGGACCGACGUUAACCAUUUAAAAAAACAAAUUACCAAUAAACCCAAAAUAUAAUGGAUUAUAUCCAUUAUUUCUUUUGGUAACUCAGACGAGUCUCCAAUUUUUAGGGACUGAUGUCAUUUUUAACGUGUCUCCUAUUUUUAGGGACCGACGUUAAUCAUUUACAAAAAUUUACAAAUAAGCCCAAAAUAUAAUAGCAUUUGAAUCAAAUAAAAACACACAAGUAAGGGUAACCUUUCUUUUGAAAGGAUGUUUUAAGGGUGGUGUCUACCUUCCCUUAAUCAUAACUAACCCCGUACCCGAAUCUCUGGGACCAGUGUCUAAUUUGGGAUUUCUAGUUCCCUCAAAUUACUAGAUGGCGACUCCAAUAAAAUCUUUGUUUCCCCCAAUCGAGAAAAAAACCCUUUUUGUUAAACAAACAAAAAAAGCGGGAGCCGUCGCCCGACGUCGUGUAUCGACAAAUGUCUGCAAAUCUUGUGGUCAUAUACAGGGUGCCGGUUUUCUUUCCACGAGCCAAAACCAUUGCUCCCUUUGAUACCUUCCACAUACCUCCAGAAAAAAGGAUUGAAUGACCACUAUCAUCAAGUUGUCCGACCGAGAUCAGCUUCUUCUUUAGAUCAGGAACAUGCCUUACAUUUUGCAAGGUCUAUAUAGAUCCAUUCAUUGUCUUGAUUUGUACAUCUCCUAAACCCACAAUAUCCAAUGGUUGUCCAUCGGCCAGAUAGACUACACCGUGAUCUCCAGCAAUAUAGUUUUGCAUCAUUUCAUGGUGUGGUGUACAGUGAAAUGAAGCACCAGAAUCAAGAACCCAAUCAUCAACAGGACUAUGCACAGCAAGAAUCAAAGCAUCUUGCACCUCAUUUGUGGUAGCGUUUGCAGAGUCAGCUUCAGGUUUUUUCGGUUUUGUGCAAUUCCUCAUGAAAUGACCGGGUUUGCCACAAUUCCAACAUUCAACCUGUUUUCUGGGUCCAAACUUGCUUUUACUUCUAUAUCUUGAUUUUGAUCUGCCUCUGGAUAAGCCUCUAUCAUGUCUCCUCCCUCGAGUGUUGAUGUUGAGAGCUGAUCCUGAGCUUGAACUUUCACCCGAGUCUUUCCUUCGCACUUCUUCAGCCAAAAUCAAGUCUCGAAUGUCAUCAUACUUCAGUUUGGAUUUUCCAGCUGAAUUGCUCACGGCUGUCCUCAUGCCUUCCCAACUGCUUGGAAGUGAAGCUAGCAAGAUGAGUGCACGAAUCUCAUCAUCAAACUCAAUCUCAACAGAUGAUAAUUGAUUUGUGAUGGUAUUAAAGUUAUUGAGGUGUUGUGUCACAGAAGUGUUUUCGACCAUCUUCAAGUUGAACAACUUUUUCAUCAGGUGCACUUUAUUAUUUGCUGAUGGCUUCUCAUACAUCCCAGACAAGGCUUCCAUCAAUCUUGCAGUGGAUCUUUCUUUCGUAACAUUGUGAGCAACUCUUCUUGAUAAGGAUAACCGGACAAUGCCCAGAACUUGUCUAUCAAGAAGUAGCCAAUCUUCUUCUUGCAUAUUUUCUGGUUUGCUCCCCAACAAGGGAAGAUGAAGUUUCUUCCCAUAUAGAUAAUCCUCAAUUUGCAUUUUCCAGUAUCCAAAAUCUGUCCCGUCAAAUUUUUCAAUUCCAGCUGCUUUUAUUUCAUCUGCCAUUUUUACUGCUUCUCCGAUUCGAAUUUCCCAAAUCUGACCUUACAGAUGUGUCCGGAACAGCCGAAAACCUUGGAAAUGACACUGAGAUAACCCCAAUCGGACUUCGGAUGGCUCAGAUUUUAGCAAUCAAAGUUUUGGAUUAACGGACGGUGCAGAUGCAGCCGCGUGUCAACCAGAGUACCGCCUGCGUCGCACCGGAUCAAAACCUCAGUAGCGGUUCUGAUGAAGCCACGUGUCAGCAGAUUAGGUCCUGCGUCACACCGUAUCAAAACUCAGUAACGGUUAUGAUGAAGCCACGUGUCAGCAGAUGAUGGCCUGAGUCACACUGGAUCAAUACUCAAUAGUGGUCCUGAUUUAACCACGUGUCAACUGAUUGGAUCUUGCGUCGUACUGGAUCAAAACCCCUCAACGGUUGUGAUGUAGCCACGUGUCAGAAUAUCAGCUUCUGCGACACAUCGGAACAAAACUCAGAGAUGACGUGGCAGGUGACGUGGCAGGUGACGCGGACGGUGACCGUACGGCUGUGCUGACGUGGCGGGUCAGCCCGACCCGUUUUGCAGAAGUCGGGCGAAGAUGGAGCGUGGCGCGCGUACGGCGCGUUGGUGCGCGUGGGCAGUCUGGGCGUCGGCGCGUGUUGGCGCGUGCGGGCAUGCAGGACGUCGGUUCUUCGCCGGGUUUUCAACAGUGGAUUCGUCCGGUUGUCCUCUACACGAUGGUAUGUUCAAAAACACGUUUUGAGAACUUUGAUUUUUGAGUUUGGAUCAAACACCCUCUUUGUCAAGAACAAGCUCUGAUACCAGUUGUUGGGUAAUUCCAGAACUCAAACACACAUCAAUUUACGUGGUUCGGCAACUUGCCUACUCCACGGAGCUACUGGUUUGUAUUAAUCAAGCUUAGAAACAAUACAAACAACAAAACAAGGAGGAGGAGAAAAUCUUCUCUACUCAACUCAAGCUCUCUCUCUCUCACGUUUUUCUCUCUGUGUUUUCACUCUUCUCUGUGUUCUUCACGCUUCAACCCUCCAGCUCUUCACUGAGCAUACAUAUAUAUUAAGCUAGGAGUGAAGGGCAUAAAUCAUGCCAUGAUUUAUGCCCACCGUUUGCCUCCACUUGUGCUAAGUGGAGAUUAGGUAUUCCCACUAAGCACAUAGUGGAGGUGGGACAUUGCUUGUCUCCAAAUAGCUAACAUAACUGAGGUGGGGUCGCCCUUGAAACAUUGGUAGAUGUAAGUGUUGCUCACAUGCAUAGAAUAUUUUUUUUCUACUUAGUAGUGGUUUUGGCAAUUUUUUUCAGACAAGUCUUGAGAGUUGAAAGAGUAAUCACACCCGAGUCAACCAACAAUCCAAAUCAGCUCCCUUCCUAAUGGUUCAGGAAUGAGAAGUCCAGCUUAUAUAUUUGAUAUAGAGACGGUACACUACAAAUUAAGCACCCAAUAACUAGACAAACAAUCAUGAUAAACUAGGAACAAUUGUCUUCCCAGUAACAAAUUCACCUUCUCACGUUGGAGAACUUGCGAAAACUAGCCACCACAAAAUAGUAGCAAGUAUUUAUGCAGUCUUCGAUGAAGUACGACCACCUGCGUCGCCAAUAUGGAUUGAUGUAAAGAACUGCUGCAAUCGUCAUUACCACAACUGUGUAACAUACACCGAAGCUGAUGUAGAAAAACUCCAUGUCUAUGAAACCAUCAUCUCCUUGUUCAUCAUUAGGCACUGGCUGUAACGGCACUGCUUCCUCACUACAAUUGUUUCGCAAUGGAGGUCCACACAAGAAAGGAUUUCCUUCGUAACAGUUUUCAUCAUCAAAGGUCCCAAAUUGAUAUUUUCUCUCGGGUGUCCUACCUGACAAGUUAUUGUACGCCACACUAAAAACUUCCAGUGUGGUAAUUUCAGUAAGUUGUGGAGGGAUGGCACCAUUCAAGUUGUUGUAAGAAAGAUCCAAACUCUCAAUCUGCUUUAGGUUUGAGAAUGUUGCAGGGAUAGAUCCAGUGAGAUUGUUGUGUGAUAAGUUUAAUGACAGUAUCUUACUCAAGUUUCCAAAUUCUGGUGGGAUUGCUCCUACAAAGUUGUUAUUGGAGAGAUCAAUACCAUACAUGUAGCUCAGAACUUUCCCCUUGUAACCAUAAUACAUAUUUUUAGUUGUAAAUUCUAUCACUUCUUCUGUAAAGUUAACCCAAAAAUCCUUUCCCAAGUUGUACAUACUAUCCCCUAGUGGUGGACCCAUUGUUUCAUAAUAAGCUUUUUCUAUGGACCAUGACGGAAAACCAUAUCCGAGAUCCGCGAGCGUUUUCUGGGAACUUUCCUUGAGAGUUAGAUUGCCCAAACAUGAGGGUAGUGGACCAGAGAGCUGGUUUUGUGAAACAUCCAAAAUACUUAAUUGUUCUAACAAGCAUAACUGAACAGCGAGCUCACCAUCAAAGUUAUUAGCCCUCAGAAGAAGAACACUCAAUGAUGAAAGAUUGCCAAUCCAAUUUGGAAUAGAGCCAAUGAAGCUGUUGUCUCGAAGAUCCAUCGUAACUAGGGAAGAGCUGUUAUAAAAACCAUAUGUUAAUGGACCGCUCAAUCUAUUUUUGGAUAGAUGAAUAUGGGUUAUUUGUGGUGGAUUGAAACAAGAUGGCAUAUAUCCAGACAAGUAGUUAUCAGAAAGGUCCAAAAAUUCAAGCCGGUCAAGCUUACAAAAGUCUCUUGGGAUUGGACCCUUAAAAAGGUUUUUGGACAAAUCAAGUACUUCAUCGUACGUAAAAUUAAAAAAGCUUCUUGGAAGCAUGCCUGAAAAUUGAUUGUUACUCAAAUCCAAUACACUCCAUACUUUCCACCCAUAUAAUGGAAAAUCUGAUAUCUGACCCCAAAAGUAGUUACCACCUAGGUAGAGAUAUUGUGAGAUAGAAGAAUUGAACACCGAGGUCGGUAUUUGCCCACCCAAACUAUUGUUUGACAGCUUGAGAACCUGUAUUGUUGUUAAUUGUUCUAGUUUUACUGUAGACAAUUGAUUGUUGGAUAAAUCUAAAAAUGAAAGAGAGCUAAAAUUUCCUAAACAAGAAGGAAUAUAACCUGUGAAUCCAUUGUCAGCCAUCCUUAAGAUCCACAGAUUUGGAAAGAUCAAACAAAUAUCUUUUGGAAUUUGACCAUUUAUGUUGUUGUUGGAUAUAUCUAAUUCGGUCAUAUUCGGAUAUGGGUGAUCUAGCAAUUGCAAAGUACCAACAAAGGAGUUCUCGCUCAGAUAUAGUUGCUCCAUUCGUGUAUUGUUCUUAAGCAACCAUGAUGGAAACAUUCCGAAGAUGUUGUUGUGGGAGAGAUCAAGGGUUCUUAAGUCGUAUUGGUAAUAGAGGAAGUCGAGAAUUUCUACAUUGAGUGCUUCCGAUGUUGGACUACUUGACAAGCGGAAAAAGACUAGUUGGAACUUUGGAAUCAAAUUAUCAAAGGCAGCAGAUUCCGUUACUAGUCUGUUGUUCUCACUGGAGAAGAACUUGAGGCUUGAGUGGUUCAUAAAAGGCUUCAUUGAAAUGGGAACUUCAAAGAGGUUAUUUGAUAGUGAGAGGAAUUCAAGGGAUAUGAGCUUGGUAAGAGGACCAAAUGCAAUAUUUCCAGUAAACUGGUUAUCAGAAACAUCUAAUAGUUGUAGAGAUGACAAGUUCCCCAAACAAUCUGGGAGUGCACCUCCAAAAUUAUUUCUAGCGAGAUCUAACUGCUUCAGAUUCUUCAAUUCACACCAACCUAUACAAUUUAUCUUGAAACAAUCAAAACAAUGUUGAAAGAAUCUUUUAUUGAUGAUGUAAUUAUAGGCGGAUGGAGAGUUGUUAAUUUACCUUGAGCGGGUAGGGUGCCAUGGAGGUCACAUUCAGCAACAGACAAAACUUUAAGAGCAGGCAAUGCUCCAGUGUUCUGGAGAAAGUUUAUUGGGAGAGAAGUAUUAUCUAGAUGCAAUUCUUCAAGGGUGCUAGAAUUGAAGAAAGUCCCUGUGAAAAAGAAAGAAGAAGAGAUAUGAUGAAAAUAGUGGUGGUACAGAAUAGCCAUUCCAUUCAAUAUUAUUAAUUAAGAUUUUAAGAAACUAAACUAUGAUUAACCUUGACUUAAAUUAGUAUCCUUGAGAGAAAGGGUCUUCAGCGAUGGCCAUGAACGCAAUGACUGCAGGAUGUCCAGAUUCCUUAAACCUAUGAUAUUUGGAUAGAAACAACAAAUUGCUUGAAGAAUCUAGAGAUUUCAAAAGGUAUUGUUAAGAAAUGAAGUAAAUAAUAGAAGAUGCCAAGAGAUAUUCAUAACUUUACCAUUGAUAGUCGUCGAUCCUAGCAACAUAUUGCCUGAUAAAUUUAAAGACUUGAGAUGAGAAAGUCCACGCAGAUGUGAUAAAAUGCUGUCAUUGAAUAUAUUAUUAUGGCUCAGGUCCAGGUUCUCGAGUUUCCCCAAAUGUGAUGAUAUGAUCUCAAAACCUGCAAGAGUAAGUCGUUAAAGUCGUUAUAUAAAAUAUAAUUCUAAUUUUGAUCUUAUUGGAAAUAUUACGAAACAAUUUUUAAAUAUCAUUCUAGUUUCGAUCUUAUUGGAGAAAAAAAAACAAUUUAUGGAUAUAAAGUCGAUAAAGAUGGAAGCUAAGUUAUGGAUAGACUUACAAAACAAGAUAAAGAAACUUAUAAUUAAGAUCUCAUCGGUAAUUAAAACAAGAAUAAUAAUCGAUCCUAGAUAGCAACAUAUUGUCCAAAUAUUUCACCAUAAAAUCACCCAUCACCAUUCACCACGACCAUAAGGCAAAAUCCUCCACCACAUAAUAAUAUUUUGAUUAAAAAAAGGUCCAAAAUAAUAUAAAACCAUGAUUAAAAAGGAGAGGAAAUAAUAAAUGGCUACAAACAAGAAUUAAAUAUCAUAUAUGUGGGUUUUAUGUUGUUCUCUUUAUUGAUAAAACAGUCGAGAGUUUUUCUAAUAGAGAAAUUGGCUGUCGAGAGUGAUUUGUAUUGGAUAGUUUUUUUGAUAGUUUUUAUUAAAUAGAUAUAAAGUCCUCAUUUUUGUUGAUAAAGAAACAAUAUAAUUAAGAGAAUGUCAUGUGAAGCAUUUAGGUAGGUAGAAACUGUGUAUUAUACCUGAUCCUGUCAGCUGAUUGCCUGACAGAUACAAAGAUUUUAGGGAUGAAAACCCAGUUAGAGAUGGAAAAAUGCUAUCGUUGCAUUGAAUCUCACUUAGAUGAAGGUUCUCCAGCUUUUUCAACCUUGAUGACAAGUCUUUGAGACCUGCAUGAUGUUCCUCAAUAGCAUAUUGGAAGGAAAUAAACGCAUAGAAAAAAAAUGAUAUGAGAAGGAGAAAAGAAAAGGUUUCAAAGCUAAAUAAUUAAAAGGUUACCAUAGAAGCUACCUCCUAAUCCAGCUGUCAACCCAUCGGUAAUUAAAACAAGAAUAAUAAUCGUUAAAUAUCAUUCUAAUAAUAAUCCAUGGCAAGUUCAAAUCCGUUGGUAACUGAAUUCCUCUAUCUAUUUAGUUAGUAAGAUGCUUAGUUGUCACUAAUUUAGUAAUUAUAAUUUGUUCCUCUGUUUUCUAGCAACUACUUUCCCAAUUUUAUCCAUUCACCACGACCGUAAGGCAAUAUCCUCCACCACAGAAUAAUAUUUUGAUUAAAAAAAGGUACAAAACCCAUUAUUAAAAAGAGAGGAAAUAAUAAAUGGCUACAAACCGAAAACCGGUCCAAUAUGUGGGUUUUAUUUAAAAAGAUAAAUAUAAAAUAUAUAUUUAUAGGAGAGUUUUGAAGUGAACUUCUGAUUACUAAUUUAAUCUAAAUAUUACAACACUUUUGGCAUAAAAGGGCUAAAAUAAGAAUAAAAUAUAUGCCUCUUGGACCUAAUUCCAAGUGCCUCUUUUCUUGAUAUAAAGUCCUCAUUUUUGUUGAUAAAGAAACAAUAUAAUUAAGAGAAUGUCAUGUUAAGCAUUUAGGUAGAAACUGUGUAUUAUACCUGAUCCUGUCAGCUGAUUGCCUGACAGAUACAAAGACUUGAGGGAUGAAAAUCCAGUUAGAGAUGGAAAAAUGCUAUCGUUGUAUUGAUUCUCUCUUAGAAGAAGGUUCUCCAGCUUUUUCAACCUUGAUGACAAGACUUUGAGACCUGCAUGAUGUUCCUCAAUAGCAUAGAAAUGAUAUGAGAAGGAGAAAAGAAAAGGUUUCGAAGCUAAAUAAUUAAAAGGUUACCACAGAAGCUACCUCCUGAUCCAGCUGUCAACCCAUUGAAUGAUAGAUCCAAAGACUUGAGAGUGGAAAGGUUACCAUUGAAACAUGACAAAAUGCUUUUAUCAUUAGUAAAUUUGUUAACACGUAGGUCAAGAUUGCUCAGUUUUGAUGAUAGGACUUCGAAGCCUGGGAAGAGAAUCAUCAAAGCAAGAUAAUUGACAUUAAACACCAACCAACCAACCUUCAUUUAUUUUAUGAUUAUAAUUAAGUGCAGAAACAUUGAACUAACCUUCAUUCUCCAUGCAACCAACCAAUCCAGUACCUCCCAAAUCAAGACCUCGCAAUUCUUUGAAAGGCUGAAACAAAGAUGCGUUGAGAACCCAAUCGCCCAAGUGGAAAUCCCUUGCCCCCCAAAGAGAGAGUUGGAUCACUCGCCUUGUAGUGUUAUCACACUCGAUCCCACGCCACUCACAACAAUUACUAUUGGUGUCCACCCAAUGAUCUCUCCAGGAAACGCCAUGUGGGUUGAUCAAAGAUUGGAUCUCCAAGAGACCAAUCCUCUCCUCCUCCAAACACCCAUAACAACGACCAUGCCAUUCGCCAACCAAAGUGAAUAAUGCUAGCAACAUCCAAGCCCCAAUUCUUUUCAUCAUCAUCUUAGAUAAUUCUAUGAACUGCUACGUAGAAUAUUGUUGUUUGUUAUGUGCCUUUGGGCAACCAUAGAGGUCCUAUUUAUACUACACUCUGGCCAUUUCCAUGACUUUGAGAUGUUUUCUUUAUUUCAUUUCUUUUUGGAAUAUUUUUGGAUUUGAAUAUUAUUCUAUUUUAUUGUCUAGCACUUAGUCUAUUUGCCAGGUUGGGAAAAAUAUUCAAAUUAGUUUUGUUGGCAUGUAAACCUCACCAAAUAAUUUGCGUAGACCGUAUUGACUGGGAGUCAAUUAUUGUCGUAGUGCUUUUAUGCACGAUCUGUGUGCGUGAACGGAAAGAAAAGCAGGGUGUGAAAAGCAUUAAAGGUUGUGAACGCGGAUGCUUGACUUGCUGUGUACCAUUUUGAUUUUUAAACACGGCCAUGCAGUCAUUUCCUGGCGAUUUCCUUAUGCAUACUGGUGGUCUUUCAUAAUCUUUUUCCAAACAAUCCUCGUUAGGCCGGCUCGGGGGUUAACUUAGAGUAAGGCAUCGUUUGACAUUGCGUUUGUAACUGCGUUUUAUUAAAUUUUGAAUUUUUUAUUUUUGCUAAAAUUAAGUGUAGCUUGUACUUUUUGGAUCUUUUUGAUGUGCUGAUGUUAAAAAUAAUUUUUAAAAAAUAAAAAAAUAUCAUUAGCAUGUAUUUCGGCACGAAAAGCUAUUUGAAAAGUACCCGCAACCACACUGCCAAACACGCUCUAAGAUUUGUAUCAUCGUUUUUUAUCAGAUUCAAGAUCAACUUGGAUCAAUCUUAAUUUUAUGCUAUUGUUUUUUAUAUAUAAACAUAAAUAAAAAUCCAGAUCUCUUUUAUAAUCUUAAAGGUAGUAUAUUAAUAGUAGAACCAUUAUCUAUCCAGAUACAAUUCAUCAUCUUUUCAUCGACAUAUCUUUUAAUUAAGAAAAGCUGUUUAUAGAGUUUUAAUCUAAGCAAUAGGUUUUCAUCGUUAAAGGAUACCUAUGUGGUGCUAAGUUCUUCUAAAGUUGGAGAACUUAUGAAAAUUAAUGCAAGGCUUCAACACUCCGAAGCCUGCAAGAGAAAUAUCAAAGCAAAAUAAGUAGCGUUAAACAGCAGCCAUUUCUUCAUUUUUAAUUUUAGUAUAACACAAUAAUAUGAACCAACCUUGAUUCUCAAAGGCACCCAACUAAUUCAUUAGCCUUCAAAUCAAGACUUUGCAAUUCCUUAAAAGGCAGAAACAAAGAUGCGUUGAGAACCCAAUCGCCCAAG